rnacentral:lncRNA from 1 species
UAAAUAUUAUUAAUAAUUAAUAAUAAAAAAUACAAUAUAAUAAAAAAAAAAAAAAAAAUUGACUUAAUUCUUUUUUUCAUUGUAUUUUUUUAUAGUCUUUUUUAUAUUCUUUAUUCUUUUCUCAACAUUUAUAUUCAAAAUUUACAAUCAUAUUGACAACAGUGUAUCGAACAAAUAUAAUUCGAUCGUAGAUAAAUAGAUCUAUUUAUCCCCGCCCACAAGUUUGGCACUUCACUUCAUUCAAAUAAUGGGUUCUUUCUUUGAAUUUGUUGUGAUACAAGAAGUUUUUUUUAUUGUAAUUGUAGCUUUAUUUCAAAAUUAUUUACCUAUAUGGCAGGCCUCCUAAUUCAGGGUCAAAAACCAUCUAUUUACAAGAUAGCAUAGUCUUUUAGUGUUUUAGGCUCUUGAGGUUCAAUCAUAGUAAUUUGUAAAGCAAAAGCUUGUUUUCUUUAUCUUCUUAGCCUUUUAAAAUUCUUUCAAUUUUAGGGUCAAGGGGGAAAAGCUCUAAACUCUUUAAUCUACGAAUCUAAGAAUAAAAACAAAAUAAAAUAAAAAUAAAAACUACAGUCAAGAAGUAUGAUAUUAGUUCUAUUGCACCAAUCCUCGACAACGGUACUAAAAACUUGAUUGAGAAUCUGCAAGCACACAUAAUCAUAUCAAGUAAUAAAGUGAUAAGUAAAGUUCGUUCUCAUAGACUUUAAUCCCAUUGAGAUUUUAAUAGAGAAUUAAGUACCAAAAUUGAACACAUUUAACAAUAUUCAAAAAACCAAAAAUGAAAGCAGUUAUUGAACUAAUUUGCAAAACCAAAAUAAACAAACUAAAUCGAAAUUAAAUAAUUUAAAUCUAAUGCAUAAUUGUUUAAGUAAACUAAUGCAAUAGCUAUAAUAUAAUUUAAGUGUAGAAUAAUUUUUAAAAGUGCUAAAACAAAAAAUUAAACCUAAAUUAUAUGCAGAAAAAUUAAAAGGUGUAGAAAAAUUUAUGCAGUAUCUAAAAUAAUAAAUAAGAAUUAACUACAAUGCAAAACAAUGAAAUUGAACAACCGUAAAUUAAUUCUAAGAUAUGUAGUAACUAAAACAGAAAUUAAUGCAGUAAAAUUAGACCUAAAUAAUGAACUAAAAAUUGAAACUAUCAAAGAACUAUAAUGAAAGAAAUUUAAUCUAAACCGAAAUUGUUAAAGAAUAUUAAAUUGCAAUCCUAAAACAACUUAGAUUAAAUUGAAAUUCAAACGAGACUUAAAUUGCAUGAAAAUAAAUUAAAAAAGCUUGAAUAAGAAUUAAAACAAAAUUGAAAUUAAAUUACAAGAAAGUAAAAGUGCAAGAAUCAAAACUGUUUAAAGAAAAUUUAAAGAAAUUGGAAAACUUAAAAACUAGAAGAACAAGAAAGCUGAAGAAACCUAAAGAUAGACUAGUCUGUCAUUCCAACCAUACUUUUCUUAAUGUUUAGAACUAGAUAUUUAUAAUUGUAAAUCUUGAAGAUUUUGACUGGAUGGAAUUGUAGAAAAGUUGGAGUACUUCAUGAAUUUCGGUUGGAGGAAAAUAAAACUCUUCACAAGCUUUGAACCAACACAGGUUUAAGGCUCCCAGAAAUUGAGAUAAAUUCUGACCUUGAUUCGUUGUUAAUUUAGAAUACCUCAUGAGAAGGAGAAAUUUUGGUUUUUAUCUCCCAAGCAUCCAAGUCAACAACCCAUGAAAAUUCUGAUUUAUACCACUUCAGUUAAAACUAGGAGACAAUUCCUACUUGAUUUCUUGUAUGUAGCCACGGUUUUCUCCCAUGCAAUCUACUUGAGUUCUUAUUAUGCCACUUCCUACUAGGAUUUCAAUUGCUUCUUGAAUUCAAGUAACCACUCCAUGCAACAACGUGGCUUUAUUUUUCUUUUUUUUUUUUUUUCUCAUGCAAUUUCUUCUCUUGCCACCAAGGAAUCCCAUCUUGCUUUGGCUUCUUGCAAUUCUUGAAUGCCAAUUAAAAGUAGAAGUUGGAAUUCCAAUCCGGUUUGGUAUUUUUGAACAAAAUUUAAGUUCCUUCAUGCUAAGUCAGCUGCCAAGUAAGCAUCCUAACUAUCCAAUAAAAUACCAGCUGCUUGCAACAUAAUUAAAAAUCAUCCCCUGCAUGUGUAUCUACAAAGGACUUGCAUAAGAUUUCUUAACGUAAAAUUCUGCCGCUAUCAAAUUGAAAACUGUAUAAUUAAAUUGUAAUGGCUGCAUGCUUGUAAAUGUAACAUGUUCUUGAAUCGAAUUCAUCCUCAUACUGCCUAAAAAAAAAUUUUUUUUUUUUUUUUGCCAUUUUUCUUCCCAACUUCAGCUCCAAAGUAGCUCAAAACAGCUUGUAAAAGCUUCAAACAGCCUCUAAAAAAAUCUGGUUAAUUGCAUCAACUAAGCUGUUAGUCAAUCUACCAUAUUCUCCAAAAAUCAAACGAAUUUGCCAAAUAUUCAACUUUUUCAUCUUUUUUUUGAAAAUUUCCUACACAUGAACAAAUUAGACUAAUUAAGGAGAAAAAUUAAAUUAUUUUGCCAAGAACAAAGUAAAAUUCACAUAAUUAAGUACUAAAAAUAAUUCUGUUUUAUAGAGUUAUUAGUUCUUUCUUGCACCGAGUAUAUAUAUAAUUAUAUAUUUAUUUGUUUAUUUAAUUUUAUAUUUAUAUAUAUUAUAUUAAUAAUAUUAUUAUUUAAUAUAUUAAUUUAAUUAAAAUAUCAUAUUUAUACAUAAUUAAGAUGUAAUUCAUCCGAUAUAUAAAUUUUACUUAUUUUAAUUUCUAUUUGACCCUUAUUCAAGGUGUCUGCAUGGUACCCAAUGUUUCUAUCCUUUUUUUUUUCCUUUUUCUUUCUUAAACAUUUUGGUUUUUUAAUUUUUUUAAAUUUAAAUAAAUUUUGUGAAAAAAAAAAAAAAACACAAUGAAAGUGUCCACAUGACAUACUCAUUUGGUUUUAUUCCUUUUUUUAAUUAAAUAAAUUUUGUAAUAAAAGAAGUCAAUACAUAAGAAUGAUAAAACAAUUUGUAUCCGAUGAGUUUUGACCCAACUCAAUCAGAUAGAGAUGAUUUUUCUCUUUUUUUGGUUUUUUUUUUUUAACUUUUACUUUUUGGUUUUUGGUUUUUCUUUGUUUAUAGUUUUUUAAAUUUGAUAAAUUUUGUAAAAAAUGAUGUCAAUAAAAGAGACUAUGUCACACUUUCAUUUGUUUAUUUACUUUUGUAUUUUUUUGUAUUUUUAAUUAGAUAAAUUUUAUAACAAAAUGAGCUGAUUGACCCCAAUGAUUUUCCUUUCCCUUUUUUUUAUUUUAUUUGUUUUUUCAAUUCUUUCUUUUUUUUUUGUUUUUAUACUUUUUAUUUAAAUUAAUUUUAUGAAAAAAUGAAGCCAAAAGGGAUGUCCACAUGGCAUGCCCAUUUGGUUUUUUUUUUUUUUCCUUUCAUCUAUUUUAAAAUUUUUUUUAAAUUAUAUAAAUUUUACAACAAAAGAUGCAAAUCGAUAGAAAUACCAAAAUAAUUCAUAUUUGACAUUUUUUGAUUUAUCCCGAUCUAAUAAUGGCUCAUUUGUUUUUAAAAUAGGAUUGAAUUAAGACAGAUAAAAUUUUUUUAAAAGAAAUGAGAUCAAGGUGAAAAUAUGUUUAAAAUACUCUUUCAUGACCCAUUUUGGGAUAUAUAUAUAUAUAUAGUGUAUAUUUUAUUAUUUUUAAUUUUAUAUUUAUAUAUAUUAUAUUAAUAAAAUUAUUAUUUGAUACCUUAAUUUAAGAAAUUAAUUUUUUAAGCUCGUGUUCACGUAGCACUCUUUAUGAGCCUUUUUUUUUUGUUCUUCAUUUUUUUUUGUUUUUUGUUUUUUGUCAUUUUAUCACUUUUUUCUUUUUCAAUUUUUAUUUUUUUAUUAGAUAAUUUUGUGAGAAAAGAUGCCAAUUAAAGUAUUUACGUGUCACAUCAUUUACUUUUUUUCACCUAUCAUUUUUUUUAAGUAGGUAAAUUUUACAACAAAAAUUUGAUGAAAAGGAAUAGCAAAAUAAAUUUUUGAAUCGCGGUAGCUCGUGGAUAUCCACCAAGUAAUAAUAAUUUGUGCAUUUAAUUUUCUGAUAUAAGAUUAUAAUGGGCAAGAAAAUUAAAUAAUUUUCUAGUUAUGUUAAUUAUUAGAAUUAUAAUCGGGUAAAAUUAGAACUAAAAAUUAUAUAUGUGUGAGUAAUAUAUAUAGAUAUAAUAAUUUUAAAUAUAACAUAUUGACUCAACGUAAAAAAUAAUAUGAAUCUUAGAAAAAACGUGUUUUGUGUCUUACACAUUAUUGAUACAAAAAUAUAUUUAAAUAAAAUGUGUCACAUUGAUACACAUUUAACACAUGAUAUAACACGAAAAACAUAUUUAAUUAAAUCAUGUCACUUGGGCAUAACACAUUUUUAUUUUAUUUUAGUUUAAUAUAAACACAUAAAAAUUAUUUUAAUUUUUAAUUUGUUGUUAUGAUAUCUAAUAUUCUACUCAAUAUAAUCAUAUAAAGAUUAUUUGAAGCAUUUAAUUAUGAUACUCAUUUAAUAAUUUACAUUGAAUAUUUUUUAUAUUAAUAAUAUAAGUACAACAUAAAUAAUAAUAUUAGUAUGAUAGAUCAUUAUUUAGUAAUUUAUAUUUAUUGUUUAAUCUUUAGUAGCUAGUGUUUUGGAUUUGUUGGUGCUAAAAAUAAAUAUAAUUAUAUAUCCAUUUAUGAGUUUUAUAUUAGUAAUGUGUAUAUUAAAUAUAUAUAUGUUAAAUGCAUAUUAAAUGGGUAUUAAAUGUUUAUACUUUUAAUAUAUAAGUAUUUUUUAUAUUAAAUAUGUAUAAAUCUUAACAUAUUAAAAUUAUAUUAUGUUUUGUAACUUUUUAUAAUAAGAUUAAAAAUAUUAUUUAAAAAACAAUUGAGAGGAACAAUAUAUAUUUAAUUAUUAAUAACAAGUAACAUCCAGCAUUAUUGUCAUUAACAAACUAAUCCAAAUCACAUUGAUAUAUAAUAAUAAAUUAUAUUGAUAAAUUAUUCUAAAUAACAUGAAUAAUGAUAAAAAAAAACUAUAUAAUUAUCUUAAUAACAUAAAUCAUGAUAAGAGAUUAUUUUAAAUUAUAUGUAAAAAUCAACAUAGGAGAUUAUAUAUUUAAAAUUAAAAACAAUAUAUAUUCUAAAUAAUUAUAAUUAUUAUUUUACUAUUUAAAUAUAAAUUGUCGAGUAUUUUGUUAAUUGAAGAUAUUAUGUUAAAUAUAUAUUAUGGAGUAUAUUUAUGAAUUAUUUUAAAUAGCACAUGAUUUGGGUAUUUGUGAAUUAUUUUUCUAUUUCAAAUAUAUAUUAUGGAAUGGAUUGAAGACAUUAUUAUUUUGUUAUGUAAGUUAUUGAUUAAUAUUUUUAGUAGAACAUCUCUUAUGGAAAUUGGAGACUUGGAUUUGGAGUUAUGUAAUUUACAUUGUAUAAAUAUUGAAUAAGCUAUUAUUUAGUGUUUAAUGUCUUCUCCUAUUUAGUACUUAGUUUUAUUAGUCUAAUUGUAACUUAUAAAUAAUUAGUUGUUUAUUAUUUUGGCUUUGUAAAUUUGUAUUAGUUCCAUUACUUGUAUUAUAUUUAAAUGAAUCGGUUAUACACAUAUUAAUUAUAUCAUUUAAUAUAUAAAAUUUAUGAUAAAUGUAUCGUAUUUGUGUUUAAUAUUUAAAUAUACUUAUAAUUUAUGUUAUAUUUAUAUUUUAAUAAUUCAUAUUAUAUAUAUAAUACGAAAUAAGAAUACACGAAUUGUUAAGUUUAGAUGCAUACGAAGAAAAACAAUUCAAAAACUUUUCAAAAUGGCAUUAUUAUCCUAAAAACCAUCUUGCACGAUGGGAUAAAUAAAAGAGAAUGUUGGCCGUUGGAUCGAAAGUGUGAUAAACACCUUGUUUAAUAAAACCAGGCCUUCACGGCGGUGUAACUCUAUUUGUCUUCUCAGACUCCGAUCCCUCUUUACCUCCAUUUUAACUUAACCCUACCGGGAAACAAAAGCAAAAAGAAAUCAGUUCCGCCAUACAGGUAUUACUCCCCUUUCUUUCUACUUUAAUUUUUAUUUUUACAUAUAUAAUUUUGAUUUUAAUUUGGAAUUUCUGUUCGUGAUUAAAUAUAUGUUGUGCUUUUUUUUUUUUUCAAUUCGCGCAUUUUCUUUUACGUUGAAUAUAAUUGGGUAACCCAAAAUGGCAAGAGUGAUCUCCAGUAUUGAAGCAGAGGCAACGGCUUUGAGAGAAGGAGCGUUGCUAGCUGAAAAGAUGAAUUUUAAGAAGGUUAAUGUGGAAACUGAUUCAAGCAACUUAUAUAGGGAGGUGAACAGGAAGGAAGGGGCAUGGCCGUUUGUUAAGGAUGUUUGAAAGGAUUAAUAGGUGGAUUCACAGAAAAUCCAAUAGAGCGGCGUAUUAGUUAGCUAAACAGUCCUAAAAGGAGAUAUGUAUUUAUCAAACUGGUUAACCUCACCCCAUCUUCUUUAGUUUUCAUUUUGGAUAAGGAUGGGGUGCCUGCCUACCAUGAGGUGUAAAGCUGUAUAGGUCACUUUAGAAAACGGAGACUGCGUUUUGAUUGGUCUCGAAUGUAUUUGUAGAGUUGCAUGUGUAAAGUAUAGAAGAAUAGAUGACUAUGUACUGUAUGAGAUUGAUUUUGAAGGAAAGGAAUAAGAUUUGUUGAUUGGCCAAAAAAGAAGAUAUAUAAUUGGGCAAUAAUUCUUGCCUUGUAGUUAUAAAAUGAAAAAAGAAAUUAAUUUGGCUAAAAUGUGGUUUUUUUCUUUUUUUUUUAAAAUUUUUGGAAGUGAAAAGUAAAAUACACUGACACAAAUGAAAGAAAAAUUUCAUGGAAUAGACAAAAAAAAUGAUGGAAGAAAGGAAAGCAGUAGGUGAACUUGAAUUUAUUAAAUCUUUCCUUGGUGCUGCUAUGUUUUCCCAGUUUUCCAUUAAAGGGUGGUUUUGUUGAAAUUCAUCUCAUGGUGAUACCAUUAACUUGUUUUGUUGUAUGUCUAAGAGACAUCGAAGAAUUUUGUUUGUUUCAAUGGAUCUGUAGUCAAAUAUUUUGUGCUUAUAAGUAAAUCCCAUAUAAGAGCUUUAGAGGCCUUUAAAUGCUUAUCAUGGAUGAAUAUGCAACCAAAAUUAGCUUAGUCUUGAUUUAAUUUCCAAACUUUGUUUGCAUGGAUAAUCUUGUACAGUUCUGCUUCAGGGCAACAUCAAAUUUUUUUUUGUUCUACAUGCCCCUUAAAGAAUAUUUUUGGGGUUUUGCUAAUUUUUUCUUGGCUAAAUUCUACAUUUAGUUGCUUAUUUUCUAUGCAUGUUAAAGUCAUUUUAAGUGGAUUUCUUUGAACUUAUCACACUCUUUCUCAGAACCUGAAAAUGAAAAGGUCAGUUAUUACACCCUUUAUCGUGUUUUGUAUGAUAACCAAAUAAAUUUGUCAUGAAUGAAAGUUCUCAACCAAAUAUAGGGUAAGGAUAAAAAUUCUUUUUCAGACUGCAACAUGUUAUAAGUUCAGUUACUUGGUUUUUGCAUUUUAGGGUCUUAAGUCAUUUUGAGUCAUUAUGUUUCCAUGUCAUAGUAUCUUUUCUGUAAUCUUAGAAUAUAGAUUAUAAGCACUAGUUGAUGGUUGAAUUUGUUUUAAUAGGCUGUUGCUGAGUGAAACUAUUUCAAGUUACCUGUUUUCAACCUUUUUGGUUUUAAAAAUUGUUUCCUUUUGUUUAUCCACAUGGUCUGAUCAUGUUUUCUGUAGUUAACACAAAACUUUUUGACUAUUUCUCGUGUCUUGGAAAUAUGGGGAUUGCAUCUUCUUGGAAAAUGAAAAAGAUUUGUGGAUUGCCGUUGCCUUAUGUCUAAAGACUUUGUUAGUAAUUUUAUGGGACCUAGGAAAAUGUAUCCUCUUAAUUUGUUAUGAAAUUUUUUGCAGUUUUAAAUUAUUUUGGAUCUUGAAUUAUUUUGAUAUCUUGUAUAAAACAACAACAAACUAAGUCUUAUAUCCUAUAAUUUUGGGGUCUGCUAUAUGAAAGGCCAAAAAAAGAAUCAUGUUAGGUCAUAGUUUUGAAUUUUCUUGCACCACUCAUUUCUAUCAACAACAACCUUUUCAUCUACUUCCUUAAUCUUCAUAUCAUUUUUUCUUACUUACAUCUACGUUUUUCGUGGUCUACCUCUAGAAGUUUUGGUCUCUCCUAAAUUUAGAAGCUCAUUUCUCCUAACUGGUGCACAGAUAAGCUUACAUUUCACAUGUCUAAACCAUCCCAAAUGGUCUUCUCUCAUCUUUUCCUCAAUUCAACUUCCCCUAAUUUUUCUCAAAUCUCUUCAUUUUUUAUUUUGUCUCUUCUAGUUUUACCACAUAUCCAUCUAAGUAUCUUCAUCUCAGCCAAACUCAUUUUCUUCUCAUGUUGUUUCUUGACAGCUCAACACUUAGUUCGAUAUAACAAUGCAAGCCUUAUAGUUAUUUUAUACAAUUUCACUUUAACUUUAAAGGCAUGCUGUGACUGCACAACACACCUGAUGCACUUUGCCACCUCACCCUCCUACUUGAAUCCAAUGAUUUAAAUCCUUUUCUAUCUCAACAUCAUUCUGAAUAAUUGAUCCCAAAUAUUGAAAAUGACUAUAUAGGUUCUAUAAUUUUUUUCUAUAACAAAUGUGGUUUUUUCUUGGGGUUUCAUGGCUGCAAUCCUUUUCUCAUUCGUUGGUAGUUGUAAUAAUGAUAUAAGCUACUAUGUUUUUAUUGUGCAGAUAUUUGCAAAAUAACAGGUUCAUGUGAUGGAUUUGUCUGAUGCAGUCAUAGUAAAUUCGAGCAGAUUGAAAUCUAUUGUGUGGAAUGACUUUGAUAGGGUUAAAAAGGGUGAUACAUUUGUGGCUAUUUGUAGGCAUUGUAAAAAGAAGCUUAGUGGAUCAAGUACUAGUGGAACUUCACAUCUGAGGAACCAUUUAAUUAGGUGUCAGAGAAGAUCUAAUCAUGGCAUAUCUCAAUACUUUUCUGCUAGAGAAAAGAAAAUGGAGGGAUCUCUUGCCCUUGUAACUAUCGAUCAGGAGCAGAAGAAGGAUGAAGUGCUUAGUCUAGUGAAUCCUAGAUAUGAGCAGGAACAGAUUAAAAACGAGCCUGUUAGCAUUGGUAGUAAUAGCUUGGAUCAAAGGCGGAGCCAAUUUGAUCUUGCUCGUAUGAUCAUAUUGCAUAACUAUCCACUGGCUAUGGUGGAGCAUGUUGGAUUCAAGAUAUUUGUCAGGAAUCUACAGCCAUUGUUUGAGCUUGUCACAUAUAAUAAAGUUGAAGCUGAUUGUGUGGAAAUCUAUGCAAAGCAGAAGCAAAAGGUGUAUGAAAUUUUGGAUAAGAUGCCUGGAAAAAUCAGUGUAACUGCUGAUGUGUGGACUGCUUCAGAUGAUGCUGCAUGCUUGAGUUUGACAGCAUACUUCAUUGAUGAGGAUUGGCAAUUAAAAAAGAGGAUUUUAAAUUUUUUUACCAUCGAUCCUUCUCAUACAGAAGACAUGCAUUCUGAAGUUAUAAUGACUUGUCUGAUGGAUUGGGAUAUAGAUCGUAAGUUGUUUUGUAUGAUAUUUGAUAGUUUUACCAGUGAAAACAUUGUUGAUAGAAUCAGAGAUCGGCUGUCGCAAAAUAGGUUCCUUUAUUGUAAUGGUCAAUUAUUUGAUGUUCGCUGUGCCGUAGAUCUUCUCAACCGCAUGGCUCAGGAUGCCUUGGAAGCUCUCUGUGAAGUUACCCAGAAAAUUCGGGAAUGCAUUCGUUAUGUUAAAAGUUCAGAAGCAACAAACUCCAUGUUCACUGAGCUGGGUAAUGAAGUUCAGGUUGAAAGUAAAAAAUGCUUAUGUAUUGAUAAUCCAUUGAAAUGGAACUCAACAUAUUUUAUGCUUGAAGUUGCCUUAGAAUACAGGAAAGUUUUCUCCUGUCUGCAGGAUCGUGACCUUGUCAACAUGAAGUUCUGCCUAUCUGAUUUGGAAUGGAAUAGAAUGAGUGUCAUUACUAGCUUCUUGAAGCUAUUUGUUGAAGUUACUAAUGUUUUUACAAGAAGUGAGUAUCCAGCUGCAAAUAUAUUUUUUCCUGAGAUAUGUGAUAUUCACUUGCAGUUGAUUGACUGGUGCAAGAAUCCUGAUGAUUAUAUCAGUUCUCUGGCUGUAAAGAUGAGAAAGAAGUUUGAAGACUACUGGGAUAAGUGCAGUUUGGGUUUAGCAAUUGCAGCUAUGUUGGAUCCUCGAUUCAAAAUGAAGCUCUUGGAGUAUUACUACCCGCAAUUAUAUGGCGAUAGUGCUUUGGAGCUUAUUGAUGAUGUUUUCGAGUGUAUUAAAUCGCUUUACAAUGAACAUUCUAUCGUCUCUCCAUUAGCAUCGUCCCUUGAUCAGGGACUGGAUUGGCAAAUGAGCGGUAUUUCUGGUUCCGGAAAAGAUUCUAGGGAUAGGCUGAUGGGGUUUGACAAGUUCCUUCAUGAAACUUCUCAGAGUGAAAGCUCAAAUUCAGAUUUAGACAGGUACCUGGAGGAACCUCUAUUUCCUCGUAAUGUUGAUUUCAACAUAUUAAAUUGGUGGAAGGUUCACACUCCACGGUAUCCUAUCUUAUCGAUGAUGGCACGCAAUAUUCUAGGAAUACCCGUAUCAAAAGUUUCUGCAGAAUCAGCAUUUGACACCGGAGGAAGAGUGCUUGAUCAUAAUUGGAGGUCAUUGCCUCCGACUACCAUUCAAGCCUUGAUAUGUUCACAAGAUUGGAUACGGAGUGAACUUGAGAGUUAGUUUUCCCUGCCCCCAUUGCACCCACCACCAUUUUUUUUUGUUUAAAAAAUUUUUGUUUGGAUGGAAGAGAGGAUGGAGGUGGGUGCAUAGGAGGUUAGGAUCAUUUUCUCUACCUGCUAUUUGUCGAUAACUUUCUUUCUUUCUUUCUUUCUGUGUCAUUUUAAGAAUUUUAUGGGUUUACACAAUCACACCAUAGUUAUUAAAGUUGGAUCGGAUAAUGAAUUUUUUAAUGUGUCGGCUCACUUGUUCAAUCAUUGAGCAAUUGGGUCAAGUGUUAAACUGAUAAAGAUAUUUAAAAUUAUAAAUAUUGUAAAAUUUUAAUCUAUUAUAUGAUAAAUAAUAAAUUUUUAUUAUAGAUAAUUUUGCACUUAAAAUAUUAAAAUAUAUAACAUAAUAUAAUAAGCACAAAAAUGUAUGUAUAUUUAAAUAUGAUAAAUUUAAAAUUUAAACUUCUAAUUUCUAAUUGAAAAUACUAGUCAAAAUAUCAAAUAACUCAAUUAUAUUAAUUUAAAUAAUAAAAUAAAAAUAAAUACCUUAAAAACUUAAAAACACAAAAAAAAAAGAGAAAACUCAUAUAAAUAUAAAUUGAGAAAAAAUAAAAAAUAGAAAGUACGUUCAAAAUUAUGAUAUUUGAUAUAAAAUCAAUCAAAUUCCAAAUUAAUAGAUAAAUUAUUAAUUUUAACCAACCAAGUUUUAUCUUUCAACUUGACGUGAGUGUAUCACCUAGAAAUAGAAAUGAAAAAGGGAUUUUGUUUUUUUAAGUUAAUUCUUUAAUGUGCGUAAAGUGCACGAGAUACAUCACCAUUUUAUUUAUAUUUUAAAAUUUAAAAUUUCUAUUUUACUUCAAAAUAUAUUAUUUUAAUUAAAUAGCACAAUAAUUCAUAAUUUUAAUUAUAAAAAUUAAAUUAAUAAUAAUUUUUAAGAUCCUUUUUGUCAAAAAAAUUAAAGCUCGUUUGGUGUAACAAAAUUAUCCACAUAUUAAUUAAAUCGUGAGUUCAGUACAAUUUAAAAUAAGUUAAUUGUAAAUCUGCUUUGAUAAUAUAAUCAAAUUAAUUUAAGUAUCAUAUCACUGAUUCAAUUGAUUCAAUCAAUGAUUUGAUUUGAUUUUGAUAAAUAUGAUUUACACUACCAAAAUUAAGUUUAGUAUCAAUAGAAAUUAGUAUAAUUAUUACUAAUGAAAUUUCGAUAAAAUGUCAAAGAAAUUUACUAAUAAAUAAUAAUUCGUUGGUAAAUAUUUAAAGGGAAAUAAAAAUAUUGGUUUGAGAAUUAUUGAUGUAUAUUUUAGACACUAAAUAAGCUGAGAAAUUUUUCACCGACACAAAAUUUAGUCUUUAAAAUUUUAUUUUUCUGGUAAUUUAUAGAUCAAACUUCAAAUCAUUCUAUCCAAGCUUUUUGCCCACCUUUAGGCUGCUUUUGAUGUAAUUGAAUUAGAGUUUCUAUCAUUUUGUCACAUAUUUGGCUGAUAAAAAUUAUCAUAUAGAUUUAGGGUUGAUUUGGAUUCAUUCGUACUUCUAUUUCAAUGACAUUGGAUCACUUUUUGAAUUACAUUUUGAACUUAAUCACACCAAUAAGGUGUUUUGAUUCAAUUGGUGUGGCAUGGUUGGUUCAUUCAAAUCGUGACACAUCUCGUUUAUUAAAUAGAAGGUUUCUCAAUGAAAAAUUAAACCACUUUUAUUUUAUUUAUAGGACAGUCGACUUUCUUGUAUCAGUCAGUCGAUUACUCUUUUAAAAAGUGAUUUGUCUUUCGCUAAAUAUUUGACUUACUUCACCCGAAAAUCUAAAUAUAUUAUAUGUGCAAAACAUUUAAAAUAAUUUUACUUAACAUUAUUAGAUAUUAAAUUUGUCCAAAGGUUCUGUCCCUUUCAGGCCGCGUUUAUCAUUUCGGACAAUUGUCCUAUCGAUUUACAUAGAGAUAAUCAACGCUAAGGUAGUAAUUAGAUUCCGUAUAAUUUAGUAAAUAUACAUAUAAAUAUAUUUUUAAAUAUUUAUUUAUAAAAAUAUUACUUAUAUAAAUAAUUUUAGUAAUUUAUAAUACUUAUUAAAUUUUCAAAUAUAAAAAGUAUAUAGGCAAAAAAUAAAAAAACUUUCAAAUAAAAAUUUAAUAAUUAUUUAAGCUCCUAAAAUUUUAUCACAAUUAAUCAAAUCUUGAAUUUUUUAUUUUGAAUCAAUUGAAUCUUUAAAUAUUUAUUUUUACUCGAUCAAGUUUUCAAUUGAAGAGAACCAAUUAAACAUUUUUAUUCUAACGAGAGCUCAAUUAGUAAAAAUAAAUAUUUACGGAUUUAAUUGAUUGUAGAAAGCAAUAAAGAUUUUGAUGAUUUAUUAAAUUUUACUUUAAGAGUUUUUUUAAUCUUUUUAUCAAAUAUAUACUAUAAAUUUUAUUACAUAUAAAUUUUAAUUUAAUAUUUUAAGAUAAUUUUUUCUUAUCAUGUUUUUUAAAAUAUUUAAUCUUACCGUCAUUGUUGUUUUCAAUAUUACCGAAAUAAAUAUCUUCACAUAUCCAAAUGGAUCGGCAUUUCUUGUUUUAUUACAAAGUACAAUAGAAGCCGAUAUAUUAUGCUAUAGUUGGUUAUGAUAUUCUCACCUAGAAUUGUCUUUUGUGUAUAGGGGUAGAUCUAAAUGGUGUCAUAAAUUGUCUAUGAACAUCCUGGAAAAUUGAAAAAUAAGAAAAAUUAAAGGAAAAUCUUUCUUUUCAAUACCUUAAAAAUUAUUCUAAAUACUUUUUCCAUUCAUAAAAUUAAUAAAUCAAUUAGGAAAUGUUUUAUAUAUUAUAAAUGGAAAAAAAUUCAAUUCAUCACUGCUUAUGUAAAUGUGUAAACAUGGAAAGAAAUGAAUGGGAAAAGAAGGUGAUGAAUCUUAAGGGGCAAGAAUCAUAGUUGUUAAUUUUAUUUUGGUAUUGACCAUGUGCUUUAGUUAGAAUAAAUAUGAUACACUAAAAGAUAAUUUAUUGUAUCGAGUUUGAUAUCAAGUAAUACCGAUUGUUUUUAUUAGUCUCAAUCGAUUUCGAUGAAUUUUGUAAAAUAGCAUGUUUCGAUUGAUAUAUAAAUGUAAAAUAUUUUUAUAAUUUUUAACUUAUCUUUAUUUAUUUAUCUAUUUUUAACAUAAUAAAAAUAAAAUUAAUUGAUAAAAUAAACUUUAAAAGUUGAGUUUCUUUUUUUUUAUUUUAACUUGUUUUUUUUAUAUUAUAUGUUUUCAAACCAAAAUUUAUAAUUUUAUAUUUUAUUUUUUCAAACCAGAGUUUAUAAGUAUUUUAAUUUUUUUUCAAGAAAGCAAUUAUACUCCCUAUAUAAAGUUUAACAAUCAUAAAGCCUUUGUUAUUUUUUUCAUCUUUUUGUUUUUAUCUUAAUAUUUACAUGAAAAAAAUAUUUAUUUAAAUAUAAUAUGAUCAAAUUAAGUAUUUAUAAAUAUCAUGAAAAAAUUAUGAUAUUAUUUCUUAUAUUUUUAAACUUAUUUAUUUGAUUUCUGAAGAUAUUGCAUAUUUAUUUUGUAAAUUAUUAAUAAUAUUAUUUCAUGCAUGUUUAUAAAUAUAUUUGUAUUAAACUGAAAAUUUUGAAAUAAUAUGUUGAACAACUGGUAUUGAUAUAUACCAUAUGUUUUUAGAAAAUCGAGAUGUUAUUCAAUAUGAUAUUAACAACCUUGGCAAGAAUGCCUUCCACUUGUUAACAGAAAUUGUGAAAUUAAUGAUAUUUAACAUUUUAUAGCUCACUUGGAUGGGAUUAUCAAUUUUGUUUUUUUGUUUUUUUUUCUUUUGAGUGCAAUGUAUGGGAUUUUCUAUUUUGAAUAAGAUGAAAACUCUAUUGUUUAAAAAUUUACAUUGAUUCACAUAUGGUAAGCAAGCUCCAACUAAAAUAUUGUUAAAUUAUUUAUACUUAAUUGAUAUGAUAUUUCAUCCUUUCCUUUUUUCAUUAUUGGGUUACUUAUUUAUUUGAUUGAAGAAAAUUUCCUUAUUCACCAACAAUGUUAAACUCUAGCAGGACUAAUUACUAUUAGCAGAAAUCAAGUUCAUGCAAAAUAGGGUAAAUGUUCAUCCCUACUUUUAUAUCUUCAUAGCUAGAGAAAAAACCACUCAAACUCAACAUACAUAGAAGAUUAUGGAUAUCAAACAACAACCAUUUUAAUUUGAUAGUUUUACCUUCUUUUUUUUUAAUAUCUUUUAACAUCUUUUCUUAAAGCAAAAACAUUAAUUGACACAAACAAUGACUCUUUUUGUAGGAUUAAUGCAUGCAUUACAUACAUGCCUACAAAUGAAUUUAAAAAUAAUAUGAAAAAUGGUUUUCAGGUUGGUGUUAUAGAUGAUCCUACUACUCUUAGGUUACUUUAAGCAGUUAUAAAUACUGACUCAUAGCUUUCUUCCAAAUUAACUUAACAUGUUCAUAGCUUGGCCACUCCAUAUUCAAGCUAUAUGCAAAUUAGGCUUUGAGUUACUAUGUUAGUGGUAACCAAAAAUACUAAUAUGGAAGCUCAAAAUUGCAACAUGUUAAUAAAUUAAUUUAUAUGACUCUUAAAAGGGACUUGAAUGUUCAUGUCAAACCUAGAUCUGUUGGUAUAUGUACCUGAUCUGUUGGUGUCGAGCUCUAACCUGGAGGCAUUCUUGAAAAGAUAAAAGAAAAGAAAAUGAUGGUUAAAGGCAAAGGCAGAGUGUGUUCCCUAUGUUUGCACGUCGAUGCAUAAGUCAGAAAGGCUCAGGUCGAAAAAGAAGUAAGAAAGAGAGAAAUGGGGUAAGAUCAACAUGCCUUAAUGGAUUAUGGAUCUUCAUAUUUAUAGGUAAGCUAUGGGGGAUAAUAAGAACAGUAUCGAGUUGAUGUGGCACUGAACAUGUUAGAUUAACCUGACAUGUCAAGUCGACACAAAUGACAAAGAUAACCCUAGUUGCCUGUUGAAGGCUUCAAAGAGACAAAAAAAUUAUUAUGCCCUUUUGACCAUUAAAUGCCUCUAACUCACUGUUCCCUUACCAAGCAAUUUGAGUAUCAGAUCAUCAAAUGUAUGACUGAUGUCCCUAGUGUAAGACAUUAGCAGAAGAAAAUAACUUGAAAGUUUAAGUCUUUGAAGUCGAUGUUAUAAGGGGAGGAUGAUCUUAGAGGAUAGCAAGCUUUGAGCCGUAGUCCAAUCUUGCAGCUGCCCAAUCCCAUGAAUGCAUCUUGGGUUGAGUGCAUACUCGGCUAAAAGGUUACCAAGGUGAUAAUCAUUUGGAAUGAUUCAAGGUUAGUAUUGGAGUUCAUCUGAUCAUGGUAAAACUUAUAUUUUAUUUUAAAAUCUUGGCUUUAGGCCUCCACUUUAAACUCUAACAGUGAAUCGAGCUUUUGGUUUACCCCAGAAAGUCGCUUAAUUCAUCUAGUCUGACCUGGGGGUUCAUCCAGUUAGGUUAGUGUGACAGCAAUUAAUGAAGAGAGAGAUAGUCUGAGUGAAUGGAUUUAAAACGAGGAUACAAAAAGAUGUCUUCCUGCAUUUGCUCCAACAUGUGGCAUAGUCCGUGCCAUUCAUUUAGUUUGUAACGCGUCUAUAUAAAGAGUCGCUAGGGCUUUAAUUUUCUAUAUUUUUGCUUUUUUUGCUUUUAAUCCGACUUGAGUUUUUUCCAACCUUUAAAGUUUUUCCACAUUUUUUUCAGUAUAUUUUCUUAAUCAUGGAUUCUAGUAUGGGUUAUGGAGAGGCCAAGAGUUACGGGUAAAACUUAAGAGAGGCUAGUAUGUGUAGUAAGAUGAUGAUCUGAUCCUACCAAUUAUUGGAAGUCACAAUUAUGAAGAGAUAGCUUAUUUGUUCAUUUUGAUGUCUAAAAAAGGGCAUCGAUAAAAUGAAAAGAAUGCUCAGGCAAGUGGGGAACAAGUUUUAAGCACAGAGGAGUUAUAUGCUUAAAUCAACUUUGACUUACAAAAUCCACCUUUUUUUUUUUUUCUCUUAGGUUGGUUCAUCUUUUAUGGUUGACCUUUCUUUAUCUUCAAUUAUUUCUCUUUCUGGGGUUCAAUCUAUCAACCCUUUUUCUUCUUCUUCUACUCUCUCUCUUAUCCAUGCUUCCAUUAUUACUUUCAUCCCUCAUUCAUCAAUUUUAGUUGAUAUCUUUUCCUCUCUUAAAGGAUUUCCACCUCGUCAUUCUUUCUUUAAGAUUGAGUUACUUUCAUCUAUUACUUUUUCUUGGAAUCCUACUUUUACUAAAGAUUCUUCUAGCAGUAAAGAUUCUAAUGAGGAAGGUUUUAAGAAGGACAAAGAAGAGGGGAGUACCUCAACCAAAAAAGAAACAAAAGAGAAAAAAACCCUCUAAUGGAGGGCAAACUUGUUGAGAUCCUUGUAUAUACUCCUUAUGACCUCGGUAUUAGCCUUAAAGAUGUGAUGAGCGAACUAAAGUGUAGGACAAAUUUUGAAGACUACCCUAACAUGUGUUCAACUCACCACGUCCAUGCUCUAAGUAUAACUUUUCUUUUUCCUAGAGAGGGUAAUAAUAUAAUAAUGACAAACUUCUUAAAUCGGGUCACUGAUAGGUUAUAACCACAUCGGCUCUAGUGUAUUGAGAUUCUUUUAUGACUGGGCUGAGGUUCUCACUUCAUCCCUUAUUCAAUUUGAUUUUUAAUUCUUACAUUUUGACUAUUACUCAGUUUACUCCUAACUCUAUACAAUACAUAAUAGCGUUAUUAUUCUUUGCCAACACUUAAACAUUUUUCCUUUUCUCCCUUUAUUUAGGAAAUUCUUUGCUCUUAAGAAACAUCCCAUUGAUAGCAAGUGGUAUUAUAUAAUAGCUCGACCAAAUAAAAAGCUCCUUGCCAAUUGCUUGAGGUUAAUAAAAAAUUGAAAGUUGUUUUUCCUUUACCCUGAAAAACAAAGAGUAAAUAAAGAUGAUGAGCCUAAGGUUGAGGCUUCUCCUAAGGUUAUGGUUUGGUAAAUAAGGAGUACACUUGGUUCUUUUAUAGACGCAUUAGUGGAACUCUUCAUCCUAGAUAUAUCAAAUCAAAAUAAAAUUUUGGAACAUACAUGUAGGAAAAAGGUCAUCAUUGAUACCCAUGAACUGACCUCUCCAAAAGUAAUAAACAUGAUGAAUUAUUAGGAUAAGUUUGAUGUAACCUCAUAAGAUUUUAUUUUACUUAAUUUAUAUCUAACUGUUAACUCAAUUUUAUAGAGAUGGCCAGCAAAGAAGACUUUGACUUUGAGCUAUACCAACACACCUCCAGGCCUAAGAGAGGCCAAAAGAAAAUUAAGCUUGGGGCUUCAUCUCAAGGGUGAAACAAGGUGAUCAACACUUCGUGUUGCUCUCUUGUAGGUCAAAAAACCAAAACUAGCGCAAGCUAAGACCUAUCAUCGACCUUGACACCAACACCACUUCUUCCUACCAAAAGGCUAUGUGUGGAGGCAUUUUCUUUCACCCGAAGAACCUCGAGGCUAGGGUUUUGAGGUCCAACUCAGAAAAGAACUCCACUAGCUUUGCAUAUAUUUCUAUCGAUCACCCCAUCAUGAGCCUAACCAUGGAAAAAAGAUCCAAUAAAGUCAUAGUCCCUCUUUUUGAUAAGUAUUAGUUGUGACUUUUGCUCAGUUUUAUUAGUGUUUGUAAUUUUGCUAAGUUUGAAGUCAUUCUGUGCAAUUCAACAAAAAUUUUCCUCUUAACCUCGGAGAACGCUGGUGAAGCCCUCUACCAAGCUUACACACGAUGGCUCACCUACUAAAGGUUGCAAAAGACAUGGCUGCCAGACUCACAAAGUUCCAAAUUUCACAAAGGUUCCAGAUUCGCAAAGGUUUUAGAUUUGUAAAAAUUUUUAGAUUCGUAAAAAAUUUUAGGUUCACAAAAAUUUCAGUAUUGUAAGAACUCAAAAAUUCGUAAGAUUUUUAAAUUCGUAAGAAUUUCAGUUUUGCAAGAAUUCCAAGCUUUGGAAGAAUUUUCAGAUACAUAAAAAUUGUAAGAUUUUUAGGCUUUUCAAAUUCUUACAAGCUCAAAGUUUCGCAAGAGUUUUAGAUUUGCAAGAAUUGAAAAUUCCCUAAAUUUUUAAAUUAAAUAUUCGCAUUUUAAAUAUUUUUGUUAGCGAUUCACAUCUAAAAUUUAAAAGCUUUAUACUUGAAAAAUUCAGGGUUCACAUCAAAGAUUUCAAGGUUCACAACCAAAAUUCAAUGAUUCUUAUUUGAAAAAUUUUAGAAAUUUCUAUCUAAAAUUUUAAAGAUUCGCACUCAAAAUAUUUUAGAGAUUCACAUCUAAAGUUACAAAGAUUCACAUUCAAAAAAUUAGAGAUUCAUAUCCAAAGUUUUAAAGGCUCUUUUAUAAACUUUAUGGCUUUACAUCUAAAAUUUUAAAGAUUUUUAUUUGAAAAAAAUUUUAGGGUUUCGUAUCCAAAAUUUUAAAGAUUCUUAUUUGAAAAGCUUUUUUGAACAAAGGCUCUAUAACUCUAAAAGUUUGAAAAGUUUUCCUUGUCAAAAAAAAAAAAAAACUCAUCAUGAAAGAUCUUCCUCAUUCAAGGAUUUAAAAGUUAAAAAUUUUCUCCAAUCAAAGUCAAAUUCUUGUAUGUGAUAAAUGUCAUUAUGCAAAUGCCUUCUAAAUAAUACCAAUGCAAUAAUCCAAAUUCUCACUAAAUGAUGCAAAAGCAUAUCUUAAACAAAAAUGCAAAUGUCAUACUAUGAUUCAAAUUCAUACCCCAACCAUAAUGCAAAUGCAUGCCCCAACCAUGAUGCAAGUGGAAUUAUCAAAGAUUCAAAUAUUCAUCAAGUUAUAUAUGUAUAAUGUAAACACAAUGAAUGUAACACAGAUGUUACUAAAUCAAUGUCAUGAAAUUUUAAUUAUGGCAACAAGGUUCUUAAGACUCUACCAUCUCAUAUAUUCUUUUUUAGUUUCUUAGCAUUAAUGAUUUCAGAAUAAAUUUCAUUAUUCCUUUAUUUGAUCCAUGUUAGUUUCUUAGUUUAGUCAUAACUCAUAGGUUAUGUUGACCAAUCCAUCAUUGUAUCAUUAUUAGGUCAUCUCAUUUGCCCUUUUCAAAUCAUCUUCUUAGGCUUCUUUCACUUUUUUCAUCUUAAAUUUCUUUCCAAAUACUGGAAAAUUCUUUUACGGACAUGGUCAUUCAGUUAUUUAUCAUCCUUCUAAUUCAUGACAUGAUAUAUUUUCUCAAUUCAUUCCAGGGAUACACAUCUAGUAAAAAAAAAGAAAUUGGGUAUUUAUUAUCAAAAGGAAGUCCAGUCAAUAACAAAUCAAAGAUGAACAAAAGUAAAAUGCUGUGAUUGUUUAAACGGGAUAUUAACAUCUAGGAUAAUGACUAUUCAAACAAUUUUGAACUCUAACUCAGAAUUUUUCUCAAAGCACAUUUCAUCAAUAUCCUUAAUCUUUGAAUCAAUCAUUAUCCAUAUUCUUAGGAUCCUUAAAUGAAGUUGUUUUCCUAAGUCCUUAUUUUUUUACUUAAACAGCCCUUUCAGGUUUUCAGUUUAUGUCUUCCUUUUUUUUUUUUCAUUUUGUCACUUUUUUGCACAUUUUUUUCUCAUAUUUUUUGUCAUUUCUCUUUCCCCUUGAUCUAUCAGUGACAUUUAAAUGAAAAUCUCAAACAACCUAAUAGCAAAUCUACUUCAGAUCAAUUUAUGAUUCUCCAAUUUGAGUAUUCACACUCGAUCAAAAUGGACUUUUAAAAGACAUAACGUAGGCUAGGAUUAGGGGUUAUGAAAGAAAUGGAUAAAAACAAGCCCAAAAUGUAUUUGAAAGGCAACUAAGCCAAUGAUCAUUUCUUUCCAUGUAGAGCACCUUGACAUUUUGCCCCAUCAAUUUCUUUUUCUUUCUUACCUUUUUUUUUUUUUUGCACUUUUCAUCAUUUUCAAGAAAUAUUUGAACAUAAAAGGACUUUGCCCUUGACAUCCCUAAAGAUCUUCAUUUUUUUUAUGUAAAAAAGCUUUUCAAACUUUGCCCCUAGUGUAGGAGUGAUCUUUGGUUAGGGUUCCUUAAAAGAAAAUUUUGAUAAGCUCAAAUAGGGUAAUAAAGGAUAAUUUUACCCUUUUUGUGAAAGAGUAGAAGAAAGAUGAUUAUUUUUUAUUUCAAAUAUAAAUAUUCUUAAUGAAAAACAUUUAUUAACAAAAAAAAAGAUCACAUAUUGCAUCAAUUUUAUCUUUUAGUGAGCAAAAUUCUUUUCCACAUCAGUCUUCUUUAUUUAGGAAUCUCCAAUUAAUAAUCUUAACUUAUCAAUCAUAUCAACAUGAAUGAUGUUUUUAAAAUCGAAUCUUAAAUUAUUAUCAUGAUUGUCCAAACAUUCAUUAUUUAAAAUCUAGGAAUAGAUAUAAGAAAAGAUAUGAAAAGGUAAAAGCAUAUAAUGGUGAUUCACAUAAAAGAGAAAAUAUCAUGAAAAUGUAUCAUAUCUACCAUUUUUAUUAAGAUGAUGAAAAAUAAAAUGAAAUUCAAGUAUAUAAAGAAAUCCUAAGAUGACAAGUAGUUUCAAUCAACCUUUUCAUCUUAUGCCCCAAGGUGAUCAGGCAAAUGAUUUUUACUAACAUUCAACUUUUCUGAUUCGUUAAAGCUCACUAAGCCUAUUCGGAUCAAACUUUAUACCUUGUACUUGAAAGUAAGGUUGAUUUCUAUAGAGUGACCCACAUUUCCAUUAUGAUAAUCACAUGUGGCAUUAACAUUAUACAAUUUAUGAUAAGGUGACUUUACUUGUUUCAAAUGAACUGGAGAUAUUAAGCCAUUCUUGACCAAUUCUAAGAAUAGCUCAGUUUAUGUUAUAAGGAUAAAAUCAAUGUGAGCUCUUUUUUUAUUGCACCUGGAUCUUCUCAAACCACUCAUCUGAUUAUUAGGCUUUAAAACUAGUGUAGUAAUAGGAUUAGGUCCUAUAUACAGGUGCUUGAAAGGCUAGUUGAUAAGGGUUUGGGUAGAUGUUAUACAUGGUUGGGUAAUAAAACUGGUAAAGAACUUAUGCAAUAUUAUUGAUUGCAGGUUAGUAAGCAGAAUGAAUAGAUGGUGGAUAUAGAGCAUAACCUAUGAAUUGUUGUCUCUCAAAACUCACGACUUGGGUUUCAGCUUCUUUUUUUUUAGGCAUUCCACUUUUUUUGGUACUGCUGGCUUCUUCCUUCUCAAGCUUGCCACUCUUGAUGGUAUUUUCAAUAAUCUCUCUUGAGAUUACCAUGUUAGCAAAGUUCUUUAUUGAGUUUCCUAUCAUUUUUUCAUAAUAAAGUGCUUUUAGGGUGCUAACAAAUAGUACUAUAAUUUUUUUUUCAGUUAGAGGUGGUUGAAUUUGAGCAACCACAUUCCUCCAUCAUUGACAUGUUCUUUAAAAGAUUUUAUUACCUUAUUCUUCAUGUUUUGUAAAGAAAAAUGAUUAAGGGCCAAGUUAAUGAUAUAGUAGUCCUGAUUAAUAAACGCCCGAGCAAGCUCAUUCCAAGAAUAGAUGCGAGUUCGAUCUAGCUGAACAUGUCACCUUAUAAUUGAGCUAGUAAAGCUAUCUUAGAAUACAUGCAUCAAUAGCUUUUCAUCAUUGGUAUAGGUAAUCAUUUUGCGAUAAUACGUAGUGACAUGUGUGACUGGACAUAGAGUACCAUUAUACUUCUCAAACUCAAAGACCUUGAACUUUGACUGGAUUUCAACAUCUAGUACCAAGCAAAGGCUGACUAUAUCCAUAGAGCUGUAAAAGUCUAUACCUUCUAUGGCUCGUAGUCUUUCCUUCAGUAAGUUCAUCUUAUGUUCAAACUUUGAGUCCUUUAAAAUUUCAACUGUUUUCAAUUUUAGCUUUUCAUUCUUCUUGAAGUCAUCUAAGUUAGGGACUGAGACUGGCUCUACUACCUUUUCAGUGAAAACAAGAUUAACAAAACUUUGAAAUUGCCCUUAAGUUAGUGUAUAUGGCAUUCUCGUGUAAGUAUACCCUGCAAGAAAUGUGAAUUAUUGUAAUGAAAUGCCUUGAGUAGACUGGACCUAAUGUGGGCCAUAACUAGAAGGAUACAAAGGGUCAACAAUAUCUUAUAACGAAUGGUUUUUAGGUCUAGCAUUUUCUUUUAUAGUUUUUUUUUUUAUUUCAACUUACCUAAUGCUUUAAAGUUUUGUUCAACUCCUCCUUAAUUUCUUCUUAAGCCCUCUCCAACUUCUCAAUGCGGCUCAAAUUAUCUUGCUCCAUUUUUUUGGCUUGGGUUCCAGUGUUAUACUUAUAGUGAGUUGGUUGAGCUAUCUUUAAACCUUGAUUUACCAUAAUUAGGGUACAUAUUUAGAACAAUGUUCAUGCAACCAUCCAAUUAUGCAUAAGAAUAAAUGCAGGAAUGCAUGACUAUAAUAAGGAGAAUUUAUCACAUAACAAUUGUUAACAAAGAAAAUCAUUAUUGAAUUAAAGUUAUUUCUAAUCAAAUCCAAUAUUACAUCCAUGAAAAGUCUAGAAUUUAUUAAGGAAAGAAAUCCCUAGUUUAUUGAUACUGGUUUUGUACUUUAUUAAAGAAAUCUAGUAGUUUUUGGUUAUGUACUCCCAUUAGUGGUACCUUUGUCUUCCAUUCAUCAACAUUUUCUACCGUGUCUUUGGCUUUGUAAACAACCAUAGUGAUUUUGUUAAACAGGAACUCUAAUUGGUUAUGCUUUCUCACAUAUGCCUCUUUUACUUACUCACAUUCCUCAUUCAAGGCUCUCAUUUUUGUUUCCAAUUUCAACCAUAACUCCAUUAAGCAUUUGGAUGUGCCUUUAUGCAUUAGAGAGUGCCUCUUCCCUUUUUUAUAACUUUGCUUGCAAUUGUACAUUUUCUUUCAAAAGUUGGGCCAAUUAUGUUAAGGUCAGCGAAUAAACUCUUACAUUCAUCCUUUUCUUGUCCAAGUGCUUGAACUUCCCUUUUUAACCUUUUGUUUGCAAGCCUCAACUUUUCGGACUCCCAAGCCAGUAGAGGACUUUGCUAGGCUCUUUAUAGAUAUAACUAAAAUUCUUCUUGUUAAAUUGUUUUGUGGCAAUUACUCUUUAUGAUAAAUCUAAUUAUGUGAAUGCAUGAUAAUAAAAAAAAAGUUUAGUAUAGACAUAAUAUAUGCAAAGAACAAUAUAAUAUAUACAAAGAACAACAUAAAGGGUUUGUAUACAAAAAAAAAAAAAACAAUAUAUAAAUUACAAGCAAAAUAAAUAUCUAAUCAUAUGUCCUAUUUAGGAUUUUCUAACACAAGAGAAAGUAGGGCUCUAACUUAGAUUCGAACCCUUAAGGUUUACUUAUAUGCUAGGUACAAUGAUUUGAUAGUCUAAGGGUUUUCAAAUUGUUUCUUACAUCAUUGUCCAUUAUAGAUUAAUAAAGCACCUCAAUCUUCACCCAUUAUAGGCUAUAAAUGAAAAGUAUUUGAUUUACGUAGGAGUUAUUUGCUAGCCCAUGCGAAGGCAUGAAAUCUCACGAAAGCGUAGGUACUUUACCCCCUCUUAAGGGAUAAAACUUGGGUGUGGAGCUCAUGUUAUGCAUAUGUAAAUGAAUGAUAGAUAUAAACAAUACAUAAAUAAAUAAAAUGCAAAUAAGAAGAAAAAUUCUUAAAUUUAUUAAGUUGGGCUUCGAUAACAAGAAAUCAUUUAUUAGCCUGACUCUCGAUAUCCCUAAUGGAGUCAUCAAACUGUCAUAACGUAUAGAUCUACGGAUGUAUCGCUGAACAUAAUCUUAGGAGUUGCCAUCAAUCUUUUUCAUUUAGGUGUGAUUGGUCACUUAACUGAACCUGUCCUAUUUUAAAAAAGAAUCUCAAACUUGAUUUGGGUAUAUUUAAAAGAUAGAUUCUAGUCUAUGAAAUCAAAUUUUAAGUUCAGGAGUGUGGUUACACGUGAAAAACGUUAUAGCACACUCACAGCGCUUAUCCGAAAGAUUGUACCAAUUUGAUUUCAAAUUAUCCAAGCCAUAAAGUCUUUUUGUAAUUUUAUCGAAUAAUUUAAUUAUUGAAAAUUGAUCUUAAAUUACUCCAAUAGUUUGGUAGCACUUUAAGAUAAUUUUCUCACCUUAUAAGUAUUCAUGGAGAUUAGUAUCUCACUUUGAAGAAAUUCCGUCAUCGGAUUCACUUAAAAAUCUUUGAUUUGUGAAAUCAAUUUAUUUUCAAAAAUAUCUUCCAAUAUGUUAGUAAGAUUUUUUGUCAAAAACUAUCCUUUAAUAUGUUGGUAGAAUUAAAAAUUUAUUUGUUUGUGAAAACAAUUUAUUUUUAGAAAUAUCUUUUAAGAUGUUGGUAAGAUUUUCUAUCAAGAAUUAUCCUUCAAAAUGUUGGUAGGAUUAAAAAAUAUUUUUUCAAGAAAAUUCAUUAAGCCCUCUAAUAGUUUGGUAAGACUUAGUUCAAGAUUUAAAAUUCUCUAAUAGUUUAUUAGGAUUGAAAAACAUUUUUUGAAAACCUUUUUUUUAAUUAAAAAAAUCAAUUAGAAUAAACAAAAAUCAUCAUGCAAAUAAUACCAUGAAAUAUAUAUUGCAAUAAUAAUAAAAUAUCAUGCAAUUUUCAUGCAAUUAAAUAUAAUCAUGCAAUUAUACAAAAUAUAUCUAAUAGAUCACACAAUAAAUAUGAAAACAUGCAAUUAUAUAUAUAUAUAUAUAAUUCAUGCAAAUAUAUUAAAUUCAUGCUAAAAUAAGUACUAAAAAAAUAAACUCAUGCAAAAAUAAACAAUUUUUUUCUUUCUUUUUUCUCACCACAUUAAUUUAAACAACCAUAAUAAAUAUUAAAAUAUAAAACUAAUAUAUAAAAAACCAAAACAAUAAAAUAAAAUAAGAAAAUAAAAAUCAAACAAUAAAAUAAAAUAAAACAAAAUUCAAAACCGAAAAUAAGCAAAAAAAGAAAAGGGAAAACAUGUGUUGACCGUCCAAUUUGAACGUGGGUUAUACGCAGGUUAGGCGGAUCCUAUCCUAUUCCAAAAUGACACCGUAUGGAGUUGGUAUAAAUGCCAAUUUUUAGCGAUUGUCCUCAAAUCAGUCCUUCUCCACUCUCUUUCUAAAAUAUUUUCUCUCUACCUUUUCUCUACAAACUUUAAUUAGAAAAAUCAAAAUAUUUAGAAUCUAGCUAAUCAACCCAGAUUCCAAUGUCAAAAACUUCAAAUGGUCAUCGAAAUAUUCAAUCCAACCUAUAACAACGCAAAAACCACCGUCCAAAAUUCUUCGACCAUUAUGAACGUCAUCGAAAUCUUUAAAGCUUCAUCAAAAAAAUAAAAACUAAAUCCAAAAAAUUCUUAGCACUUCAAACCCAAACGCAAAAAAUUUACUAAAAAGACAAAACAAUAAAUUUAACCUCAAUUCCAAAAAAAUCUAGAAAUUUAAACAAACCUAGAAUUUUUAACACCAAACAAUUGAAUUAAAACUCAAAACCCAGAAAUUUAAAUUCCAAAAAAGAACCUUAAUCUCCAAUCAAUCGAAAUCAAAAACUCCCAUCAUUACCUAGAUACCAGUAAUAAAAAAAAAAAACCAAACCCUAGGAAUUUUUAAUCCUUAAACUGAUUUAAAAAACACAAUGAACCUCUCAAAAUUAAAAACCCAAAAAACUUUUAUUUAUUCCUGCUCAUCCCCGUUUAUGUGUGUUUUUUCUUGGUGAUUGAUUUUGUUCUUAUAAGGAUUGAAUCUUUCUCAAAUUUAGAACCUAAAUCAAUUUAAUCGAUUUUUUUUUGUAAUUUGAUUCUAUAACAUGUGAUUUGGUUUGAUUGAAUCCUAGAAUAAAUCCAUAGUUUCCCAUUUUUUAUUUUUUUCCUUUUUUUUUUUGGCUUUAACUUUUUUUUUCCUCUAACUUCUUUUUUAUGAAACCCAAACAAAUAACAAAAUUAAAAUCAAAACUAAAUCUAAAAGAAUCAAAAUUAAAAUUAAAAAUUAAAAAAUUUUUGAGCUUUUAUCUUAUUAGGCCCAAUAUUUCCCAAUUAGGCCCAUUUUAUGGUCAAAUGUCGGUUUUGGAUUUCGAAAAAAUUUAUAGACAAAGUAGGGUGUCUACGAUCAUAAUGUUAGAUGUUACUUGUUAUUAAUAAUUAAAUGUAUAUCGUUUUUCUCAAUUCUUUUUUGGAUAAAAGACCUUUUUUAAUUUUGUUAUAAAAAGUUACUAAGAACGAUACAUAUUUAGUAUUUUAAGAUUUAUAAAUGUAAUAUAUACAUUAUUAAUAUAAAAAAAUACUUACAUAUUAAAAAAAUAUAAAAAAGUUUGAUAUCUAUUUAAUAUGCAUUUAAUAUAUAUAUAUUAUAUUUAAAUUUUAAUAUAUACAUUACUAAUAUAACAAUCAUAAAUAUAUACACAAUUAUAUUAGUUUUUAGUACUAAAUCCAAAAUAAUGAACUACUAAAGACUAAGGAAUAAAAUAAUAAUGUAUUAUAUUAAUAUUAUUAUUUAUAUUGUAUUUAUAUUAUUAAUAUAAAAAUAAUUUUAUAAUAUUAUUAAAUGAGUAUUAUAAUUAAAUGUUUAAAUAAUUUUUAUAUAGUAUUAAAUAGAUAAUUAGAUAUCAUAAUUAAAAAAUUAAAAAUUAAACUAAUCUUUAUAUGUUUUUAUUACAUUAAAAUAAAUAUAAAAGUGCAUUAAAUGUGUUAAAUAUGUUAAACGUGUAUCUUGUGACAUGAUUAAAUUAAACGUAUUUUUCAUGUUAUAUCACGUCUUAAAUAUAUAUCCGUGUGAUAUAUUUUAUCUAAAUAUAUUUUUCGUGUCUUGUACGUAUUUAGAUAUAUCAACAUAUAUAAAUUAUGAAUUACAUCAUGUUAAAAUUCAUAUCGAUACGAAUAAAUAUAACACAUAUUUUUAAAAUAUAUAUAAUAUAUAUAAUUUUUUGUGUAUUUUUUGUAUUAGUGUAUGAAAUUACCAAAUAUAUAUAUAUAUAUAUAUAUAUAUAUAUAUUUAUAAAAACCCACACGCUGAAAGGUUAUCGAGAAAGUUUAAAAGAGUUGCGUAUUGAAUGAAAGACUAUUACAACUCAUGCAUCUAGUCAUAUAUAGAGGAAAUGAUACCGUGAAAAUUCAAAUAAUAUUAUUACUUAUUUAGGCUUUAAGAUUUUUCAAAAAAUUGUUUUUCAAUAUUGUUCCACUAAAUGAAAGAGAUCUAUUGCAUUUGUUAAAGAUUAAAUCUUCGAGACUCCAAAUUUUUGUUGAAGAUAGGAAUAGAGAUAGAUACAUGUCUUUUUAAUAAAAUUGUUAUUUGUAUGAAGUUCUUUUUUAAAAUUUUUUUUAAAAAAAAUAUGUUUACUAAAAGUUAUAAAAUCUAAACCAUAAUUAUUCUAAAAAAACAAAAAGCCUACAAGUUACUACUUAAUCUAUCUAUAAACUGAAUUAGGCCCAAACAGGAUAUUAGUAAGCUUUAGACUUGUUCAAACCCGACUUAACUUGUAAUGUGGGCCUCAUUUGCUGUCCAGACAUAUUCAGAUUGUAAAGAAAGUUUCCUAAACUCAGCUCAAAUCUACCUAUAUUUCAAUUUUUAAAAGAAAAAAAUAAUAAAAUAUAUAAUAAAAUGAACUAUGAUAAAAUAAAACCUAAAAAAUGACUUUAUUAAUGUAAUUUUGAACAAAUUUGAUACAUGUAGGUAUAAGACAUUAAUGUUUACACAUAUUAGUUAAUUGUUUAUUUAUUUUUAGGAGUGAUCAACUUAUACAAUAUAAAAUUAAAAAAAUUUAUACAUUUUUUUAAAUUAUUAAUUUCAAUAGAUUCAAGAUAUGAGAUUAAAUCCUUUUUUUACAUGUUUUUCUCAUUCUUAGAUCUAUUGAAAUCAAUAGUUAAAAAAUAUAUAAAUUUUUUUAAGUUUUACAUCAUAAGUUGAUCUUUCUUCUUUAUUUAAUAUAAUUAUAACUAUAGAAUAUAUAAAAUAGUUAUUUGAAUCAAAUAUAAUCCUUAAAUGUUAUGUGAUUUUUUUAAACAAACCUUUAAUUAAGUUUAAAUUCAUUUAACAUAUCUAAUAUUUAUAUCCAAACCUUUUAAAUUUUAAAUGAAUAACCCAACACUUGGCUUAAACCUAACGAUUUGUGUAUUCGUAUUAUAUAAAACACUGAAAUUUAUAUAUUUAUAUAAUAUUUUAUAUAAAAAUUAUGUGUUACAAUUCGUGUUAAUAUAAAAUCAUAAAAUAUUUUUUUUUGUUUUAUUAAAUCUAUGUAUAGCGAUUGUUAAAAUUUUAAAUUAUAUCACAUUCGCAUCUUAUUUUUAUAUUAUAUUCGUAUCAUAUCAUUAUAUCUUAUUUUAAAUUGUUAGUUCUAUUUGGUAUGGUCUAACAAUAAUAGCAUACAAAAUACUAAUUUUUAAGAGUGUUCAUUUGAUUAGUUUGAUUAAUUUUAAAUUGAAUUAUUCAAAAUUGAAUUAAUUUAAUUAUGUUAUUUUAUUUUUAUUAAUCGAACUAAAUUUUUUAAUUUUAAAAAUUAGUUGACUGAAAUUAAUUUAAUCGGUUCAAUUAAUUUUUUUGAUUAAUUGAAUAAUAAAAUAUAUUAAGUUAAAUUAUAUUUUAAUUCUAAUUUUUCAUAUAUAAAAUAAAUUAAAUAAAAUUAUCUAAUAAAAAUAUUCAAAUGCCAAAACAUUUAGUUAAACAGCCUAAUAACUUGAAGUGAAUUAAAUAAUUUCAUAUAUUUUUAAUUUUAUAUAUAAACUUUAUAAUAUUUGAUUUAAAAUUUUGAUAGAUUUAAUUAUUUUAAUUUUCAAAUAAAAUUAAUCAAAAAUUAAAAUUUUUAAAAAUAACUUUUAUAAUCAACUAAAAUUAAUUCAAUAAUUAAUUAAUUAAUUAAAUUAAAUCAAUACGAUGGAUUAAUUCUAUUAAAACUGAUGGUCCUAACUUAUUCUAAUUUACCGUAAUUUCAUUAUAUUAUUUUACGAAACAUAAAUAAAUUGAUAAAUUAAUGGGUUUUAGAAUUAGAUUCGGUAAGAUUUAAACACCUUAACCCGUUUCAAAGCUGCAAGAAGUGGAAACAGAAUCUCGAGAAUCGAAGCCAGAGGACUAGAUCUCCAACAACCCAAAAUUUUUUUCCAGGUAUUUACUUUUCGUGCCUUGUUUAAUUCUAUCAUUUUCCAUCUGAAACAUUUGUGUUUACCCACUACAAAUAACGUAAGAUAAUUUCUAACAUUUCAGAUUUAUUGCAAUAACCGUUGAGACUCUUAGGCUAAUCCUACACUCAAUUACUGGACUCUGAAUUUGUGAAUGCAUUUAGGGGUUAUAAUUUUUACAAGUUUUGCAAGCGUUCAAGGUUAUUGUUGUUUGUCUGUUGACAGUAAUGUUCAAUCGUGGAACAAAGUCAAAGGCAUGGCAUGGGCCUCAAAACUACCCAGUUAUAGUGCCAGUUAUGUUUCUGGUAUCAGUCUUAGUAGCAUUGGUUUUGCUUUUCCAAAAAGAUGAUGUAAACCCGAUGUCGGCAUAUGGACUACAUGAGCAAAAAUGGAAUAGGUUUGAGUCUUUGGUGCAAUUUAAUCCUGAAAGGGAAUUCAGGAAUGGGACGGAUUUGAUAUGGCAAAUACCCAACUCGCCUAAGGGUGUUCUUUUUCUGGCUCAUGGAUGUAGUGGUAGAGCUGUUAACUUUUGGGAUAGGUCUUCUAAAUGCCCUAAAUGUGUUGGUUUACCGGAGGAAAGGCUGCUUGUUCUUCAUGCACUUGCACGGAAAUUUGCUGUCUUGACUAUAUCGAGUGUAGGGAGAUGCUGGACGUUUGGGAAGGAAAAAUUGAUUGUUGAAGAUAUUAUAAGAUGGUGGAUUAAUAGACAGAAGCUUGAAAAGCUUCCUCUUGUGGCGUUGGGGGCCUCUUCUGGUGGGUACUUUGUAUCUGCACUUGCUAAUGAUUUGAAGUUUAGUAGUAUAACACUUAUGAUUGCUGAAGGAAUAUUUGAUCAAAUGGACAUCAGACAGGACUAUCCGCCAACCCUAUUUGUGCACAUGCCAAAAGACGCUCAUAGGCAACAAAAAAUAACUGAAUUUAUGGAAGUUUUGAGAAAUAAAGGGAUUGAUGUUGCAGAGAUUGAAUGUAUGGAAUUACCUCUGUCACCAACUUUUUUAUCUGACAGAAUCCCAGGUCUCACUCAGACUAUUUCUGCUAGAUUGUUCAAUUUAUUCCGGGAGAAAGGCUUUAUAGAUGAGAAUGGGUAUAUGAAAAGGGAUGGGCGUGCAACACAUUGGAAAGAAGCUGUCGAGGAUAGUAAGACUACUUUGUUGAAGGACUGGGUGCAUCCUGUUCAGGAGGAGCUAAAUCUUGCGUUUGCACACCAUGAAAUGACUAGUUUGCAAUCUGAAGAGAUCUUUAAAUGGGUUGAAUCUCAUAUGACCUGAAGUAUUCUUUUGUGCCACAUUCUCCUUUCGCAGCCACGGAAAAAGCUUUGCAGACUGUUUCCAACCAAAGUACUGUCAGUCGAAAAUGAUCUUACUUACAGCUUAUAGUUACAAUCCCUCAACUUGAGCUGGACUAAAUUGUCUACAGGUUGAAGCUUGUCUUCAAACAACCAAAGACAAUGGAAUGUAAAGCCACCACCUUGCAUUAAAACCAAACUGCAGCAUGCACUAUGUAUUAGGUAAACUUAGCUAUAUUUGGGAAAUAAAGCAAUCUUCAUUACACUCUGAAUACUAUUACAUACAUUUUUUGUGGAAUUGCAAAGUAUCUCUUUUUGCCUUUUAGGGGUCUGUUUAUGCUUGCUUUGAAUGAGGUAUCUUUUGUGUUGUCUUUAUACUUUUUCAUUUGGCAUUUUCUCCUUGCUAGUUCACCUAUAGCUUAACAAUUUUGUAUGUGAAGUCUGAAAAAUAUUUGACUGCUGGACUUUGUUGAUGUCUUCUGGAAUAAAAACAUUUUAGUGCUUUUGUAAACUUAAGGCUUAGGGUGGUCCACAAUUUUAUUCACCUGCUUGAAAUGUUUGAAAAAUAGGAUUUUUUUUUAUUAUUUUGCAACCCUUCCCCUCCCUCUUGGAUGAUUAAAAAUUGAUUCUGAUGUAUUAAUAUAUUAUUCAGUAAAAGCACCCCUUCUCCCCCCCCCCCCCUCCUUUCAAUUUCACUUUGCUGUUUUAAUUUUAUUUCUACUCUAAAGAAACUUAAAACUAGUAGAUGAUCUAUUCUGAAAUUUAAAAAUAAAACAAGAGAGAGAGAGAGAGAGAGAGAGAGAGAGAGAGAAAAGAAUCCUAGCCAUAUAGGAGGAAAGGGGUACUUCUAUAUUUAUACCCCAAGUUUCAGCAAUCAACUUAUUGGUGUUAUAAACCUUGAAUGAAACUAGUCUGGACUGCAAGGCUUCGAGAACUUAAUCCUUGCUGAUGGUUAGAAGAAGAAAAUGCAGUGAUUAACACUUCUAAGCACCCAAACAAGCAUUAAUUAUGUGUUUGGAGGAAAAAACAGAAAAGAACUUUAGAUAUGUAUUUUAGAAUGAAAGUGCAGAAAAAACUGUUUGUCCUUCAAUUUUUUCUCCAUGGAAGAAUGGAGAGUGGAGAGUUCGUACUUUAUGAGUAAAAUAUGGGAUUAUAGAUGUAUAUGCUUUAGUCUUUGCAUUAAUUAUGCAAUUGAGUUUGCUAUCUUGGUGUUGUGCUUGUGGGUUUGUUUUACAUGACUCUAUAGUUCCGUUAAAUAAGAUCCUAUAUUACAUAUUCCAAACAUUUCUAUUCACCAAAGUAAUAUGCAAAAUACAUUGAUAGUCUACUCUGAGUUAAUUAAAUAGUAAAUGAUGUUUUAAUUCUCACAUGUGUGGAGGAAUUAAAAUUGCUAUGUAUUGAAAUCUCCACUUAUUAUUUUUAUCAAUUAAUAUUGGAUAUGAGAAUGCUUGAUUGAAAGAUUAUGGUAAUGGAUGAUUCUGAUGAUGGAUAGAAUUAGUUCUUAUUUGAGUGCAUGGUCUUAUUGUUAUUACUCUAAAUAUGUGAAAUGUCUAUUUUUAUUACUCUAAAUAUGUGAAAUGUCUAUUAUUCACUAUCAUUUGUUGUCAUUCUUCUACUCUUUAUCCUUGCUGCUUUUGUUCCGGACGGUUUCAAUAUUCUUUUCUGAAUUCUAUUUUCCAUCCCAAUACUUUGGCGUGUGACACUUCGUCUCUUCAUCCCCAAAGUUUGUACAACACUCUACAAAGUGUGUUUGUCGAUUGCAUUUGUGUCUCAAAAAUCAAUAUCUGAAAUUUUAUACUUGUGAUGUUGGAGAAUAUGAAGAUGUCUUUGCUCAUUGGAUUAUGUCAUUUAUAUAUAUAAAAGAGUGAAUUCCAAAAAUAUUAAUAAUCAUCGAUUUAAAAUUUAUAAAUAUCUUUAUAAAUUUUUAAAUUAACAAAUUUAUCUAUAAAUAUAUAAUUUUUAUUAAUUUAUUAAGUUUAAUAUAAAUCAACUAAACUUAAAAAUAGGAUUUAUGUGAAAUUAAACUACUUAAAAUUUUAAUUUCAAAAGUGUUAAAAGUUAUUGGCUAAGAUACCUUUAGUAAAUAUUUUUCUAAAUUUUAAUUUAAAUGAAUUUUUUUUAUUGUUAGACUCCUUUUAUAAUUAGACUAAAAAAGUGUUAAGUGAUUGAUUAAAAUACUUUCAAUAAAAUUUUAAUUCUUAAAAUGUUAAAAGUGAUUGAUUAAAAUAACAUUUGUAAUUUUUUUUAUAAAAUUUUAAUUUAAAUUACUUUUUUUAUUAUUUGAUUUUUUUUUAUAAGUAGAAUGAUUUUUUAUUUUAAAUGAAAGUACAAAUAGAACUUGAUCAAAACUUAGUAUGCAUAGAAAUAAAAUAAUUAUAUGAAGUUUGUUUCUUUGGUUGUUAUAAAAAUAAUUGUAUAUGUAAUUUAUGUUGAUAAAUAAAUUCAUUAAAAAUAAUCAUAAGUAAGUUAUUAAAACAUAUUUAUUUCUUUUUUUAUUUUUUGUCUUUCAAUUUUUUUGUUUUAAUAUAUUAAACUAUAGAUAUAUGUUAAUGAUUUUAUUAUUUAUAUGUUUUAUGACUUGAUCAUUUGAUAAGUGAAAACAUAAUUAAUUUUUUUAGUCCCUUAAAAUAAUUCUUUAAUAUAUAAUUCUUAUAGGUUAAUCUGAUAUGUACAAUUAAUUUUUCUUUUGUAUUAUUUUCCUUUGAAAUUUUUAUAAUUGUUAUACUCAUAAACAAAAACUACUAUCAAAUUAAAUACAAAUCAAUUGUACUUUUCUAUGAACAAUUAGCAUUACGUGAUUCAUUAAAUACUUUAAUUGGAUUGUUCAAUGAUUCAAGAGGUGGUGAAGCUACUAGUAACUUAAGAUUGGAUUUCGUCAAAUUGUCAUAAGAAUUGUUCACAUUGAUUGAAACAAUAAUUGAUUUAAUUUUCUCUCAACUUUAAUCUUAAUAUGCAUAUAUAUAUGAUUAAUUUAUAUCUCAAAAUUAUUUAAUCUUUCUUAAUUGUAUUAAAUUGCCCCCUUUUUUAGUCAUUUAAGUGGAUGAACGACCUAACAUGAAUUAUUCUAACUAAAAAAUUAUCAAGUAAAAUUAAUUGUUGUUUAUGAAAUCUUUCAAGGUGUUACAAAAUUCAAUGGAAUAGUUUUUUUUUUUUAAUGUGUUUAUGCUAAAAUUACAUUUAUUCAUGAAAAUUGAUGUUGUUAAUGCCAAAAAUGAAAUCAUUAUAAAUUGUAUGGAUAUUAUAUAACAAGUUUGUAAUUCUUAGAAUUAAAAUUUUCUUAGAAAAUAGGACAAGUACCAAGGUAGUAAUUUAUUUUUUUAUUUUAUUUUAAAUUUUAAAAUAAUGUAUUUUAAUAUUUUUGUAUAACAAAAAAUUAUGUAACUAAAAGAGAAAAUAUUUAAAAAAAUUAAGUUUUUAAUUGAUAGAAUGUACAAUUACAUUCAAUUAAAAGAAGUACCAAUUAAAUAUUAUUUUAAGCUGAAAAAUGAGAUGAAAGGUUGAUUGGUUUUGCAUAACUUUAUCUUCUCUAUAUGAAAAAGAAGAUUAAUGUUAUAUAAUGUUUCAAUAAAAAAAUAUAAAUGUAUUAAUUUCAAAUUUCUUUAGGAUUAAUAAGAAGCUUUUUUAUUUUGAACAAUAUUAUAUAAUCUUUUAUUUUCUCUUUUUAUCAGUUGAAAAAUGUUGACUAUUGUAUAAAAAAUUUUAAGAUUACCAUAUUAAAUAAUAUUUGUUCAAAAGAAUUGAAAUUUAUCAAAUUAAUUAUCACUAUUACAUUUAAAAUCAAAUAUUAUUAUAUAUAUAAUUUAACUAAACUUAAAAGUGAUUUAAGAACAUUCAUUAACAAAAUUUAUUUGAUAAAUUUUUAUUUAAUUGUGUAUUUAGUAUUUCAAUCAUUUUUAAUUUUGACUUUUCAUAAUUUAAGUUGGAUUUUAAAUUUAUGAUCAGUAACCAAUUAAGUUGAUUCAAGUCUUAUCAUCUACUUAUAUUCAUACUGUACUCAAUUAUUCGUUUAUCAACUUAAGCAAACUUGACUCAAUAAUUGAUACAUGCUUCUUUUUGUUUAAAAAGUUUAAUUCAGAUCGUCUUGAAUCCAAAUAAAAAAGAAAUAUAUUUAAUUACUUAUAAUUGAAAUUUCAAUUUAUAAAUUCUCUUAAAAUUAAUUAACUAAUUCAAUCAUAAAGACAAUAAAAAUAAGAUAUUGAAGAUGAAAGAAAAAACUUAAGGAACUUUUGAAUUGUUAUGGAAGAUGAAUAAGAAAUACUGAAUUUUGAUUAGAUUACUAUUUCAAUUCAUAUUUUUGUAAUGUUAAAUCAUUUCAGGUUUUAAAUAACUAUUAAGUUGUUGACUUUUUUAAAAUAAAUUGAAAUCGAGUCAAGUUAGUUCAUUUUUAUAAUUAUGUGUAUUAUGUUAUUUUAAUUACAUUAAAAUUUAAAAUUAGUAAAAAAUUUAUUUAUACUUAAUUUGAGUUUUGAAUUGUUUCAAGUUUUGAGUUUAUUAAUUUAUGUUAUUUUAGCUAUACUUUUAUGACAUCGGUAAUAAAUUUCAAAAUUGAAUGAGAACACAAUACAAUGAAAAUUUAAUUGUAAAAGUGAUGGAGAUACUAAUGAUAAUUCUAGAAAAAAAAUAUUUAUGCCUAAGUCUUGUAGAGAUUAAAGGAUAUAUCUUCUUUUGAGUAUUUUGAAAUUCGUAAUGUAGAAAUAUUAAUCUAGAUCAACAAGUUUAUAAUCGUUCAUUUGUUGAUCAAGUUGCUACUAUAUGAGUUGAGGGAAAUAAUUCAAACAUUUUAUUUGAUAGAGAUAUCAUAGUUAGGAAAUUAAUAUAGAGUUAAACAAUAUUUUGGUUGUUAUAACUUUUUACAACAAUCCUUAUUUUUUCCAAAUGAAGAAAUUGAUUGACAUUAAAAUAUAAAAAAAGUCAUUUUGAAUGAUGGUAAUAGAAAUGAAGUAACAAUUAAAAAUAUACCAUUUUUUCGUUUAGUAAAAAAAAAUUAUGGAGAAUUUUAAGGUAAUUAUUGUGAAUUUGAUGUUUUUAAAAAUUAUUAUCCAUUUAAUUUUCAUAAAUUUUAUUUAGCAAAUUUUUUUAUUAGUACUUUUAUCAUAUAUAUAAUAUAAAAUUUUUACCUAAAAUUAUAUACUUAAAGAUAGAAAUAUAUGGCAAAGUUUAUUACUUUUAUUGGUGACAGAACACUUUAUAUAUGUUAUGCUCCCAAUCCCACAUUGGAAGAAUGUGAGGAUAUGAUAUGCUAUAUAUGUUGAGAUAUAAAUCAUAUUUUAAGGCGUCUUUUAUGAGACAAAUACAUGAAACAUUUAUAUCAAAGCAGAUAAUACAUUGUAGGUUGAGUGUGGAUAUUUAUAAAUGUAAUAUAAAGAUCAAAAUUUGAACUCUUAGAAGAUUUCCAAGGAUCAUAACCUAGGCUUUGAUACCAUUAUAAACAAAAAAGGGGCUAUUUUGAGUAUUUUUGUAAGUUGAAGGACUUUUUAAUAAAGAAUGAGAAGUGCGUAGGAUUUAAUGAUAAAUACCCAGCUUUUAAUAGGGUUAACAUAUACUAGUUGUUUAGCCAACAAUUGAUCAAAAUAAAAGAAAAGGUUUAUUUCUCCUCUGUUUUUUAUACAGAGCAAACAAGUUGAAGGAUUUUAGUUGAAAGUCAAGAAUAAAAUCUACAAUGGAAUUUGUCUUCCAAAUGUGAGUAAAUAUCCUCUUCCACUUAUUAAAAUAUUUAAAAUAGUCCUUCCUUUUUUAUAUGGGUAUUAGAGCCUAGGUUACGAUUUUGUAACUAUACAACUUUUAAUAGGAUUAACAUAUACUAGUUGUUUGGCUGACAAUUGAUUGAAAUAAAAGAAAAGGUUUAUUUUCCUCUCUUCUUUAUACAGAGCGACUUUAGUUGAAAGUCAAGAAUGAAAUCUAUAAAGAGAUUUAUCUUCCAAAGGUGAGUAAAUAUUAUCAUUUAAUUUUGGAGAAAUAGUUUUUGAUUGUUGAGUCUUAAAGUUUAACUUGUAAUCGAGAAACCUAAAAACCUUAUAAUCUAUUAUCACUCUUCAAGAUUGGUUUAGGCAAGUCAAUUAGGCUUAAUUAGUUCAUAAUGAAGUGUUAAAGAAGAUUUAGUAAUGUGAUUUUAUAGUUGUAAAAAUAGAAAAUAAAAAUUGGAUGGGGUUAGAACGGAAAAAAUUCUGUUUCGCAUGAAUUAUGGUCUCUGCAAUGGUGGAUUAAAACAAAAUUUUGUAUUAAAAAAUAAAAUAUUAUUAUGAUUAUUAUAUACCGUUAGAAAGCUUGUUGAAUCUACUUACCAAUGAAAUGGAAGUUGAUUCCGAGUUUUUUUCAAAAAGUUGUCUAAUUUUUACUUAUGGAUGUGCAAGUUGUAUGGUAGCAACAGUAAGGAUAAAUUAUGAAAUUGUCGUAAAUUUUAUACAAGGAAUUAAGGAUUGAGUCAUAUAUGUUUAGAAAAUUUAUAGAGUAUAUUUUCUAAUGAAAUAAGUAGAACUAAAUUUGGAGUCUCUUAUGAAUAAAUAUUAAUUUUUACUAAAAGGUAUACAUGUUGUCUGGUAGUAGCAAAUGAUGUGGAUUAAAAAAAUUAUUACAAUUAAUCUACAAAGAAUUACGAGGUGGGCCAUAUAUUAUUAGAAAGCUUAUCGAGUUUAGUUUCUAACGCACUAAAAAGAUGUUAAAUAUGAGUUGUAUAUCUUAAGACAGAGUCAUUUUAAUGAAAGGAGUUUAGGCUACCAAUAUUAGUUAGUUAAAUUAACCCUUGUAUAAUUUAGUUGUUUUUAGUAUAAAAGGUCUAAAAAAGGGUUGAUUAAAUUUUGAUAUAUUGCAAUGACCUUGAAUAGGCCAUUAAUUAUAUUGGGGGAAAAGCUAAAUGGUAGAAUAGAAAGAACGUAAGUAGAAUCUUACACAUUUUGCUUGUUUUCGAACUUAUAUAUAUGUGUAUGUUUCUAAAUAUGUGAAGAUUUUAUUUCUUUAUUUUCGGUACAUGAAUAUAGGAUCAAGUAUGUGAUUAUUUUAUGUUUUGCUAUAUAAAUGAUUGAUCCUAUUUAUAAAUGAAAUGAGAAGUUGAUUUAUGCUUAAAAAAUGAUUUUAUGAUAAUUACGAAUUUAUAUCCUUAAGAAGUGGGAUCAUUAACACUAGAACUAGUUCUAUGGUGUUGGCUAACAGGUUAUAAUAGUUAGUAUAGUCAUGAUCAUACAGCCCUGGCUAGUAGGUUAUAAUAGUUAGAAAUUAUCAUGAGGAUGAUAUUGUCGAUACGACCAUUGUCACGGGUUAUAGCAAUAAUUAUGGCUAAUGAUGAACUAAUAAUUAUAUUUGUGACAAUGAAUUUCUGAUUUUAAGGAUUGAUCCAUGAUUUGUAUAAGCAAAGAUUAUGAAAAGAAUUGAUGAUGAUUCAUGAUGAUUUAUAAAGAUUGAUUAAUGAUUUGGUUCUAUUAUGAUAGUUGAAUGAUAGCAUAUGUUACAAUGAUUUAUAAAUUGACAUGUUUUGAUAUUGAUUUAUGAAUUUAUGAAAUGUUUGACAUCAUUAUAAUUUUUUGAAAUGUUUUAACAUUAUGAUUUGAUGAAUGUUUUGAAUGAUUUAAUGGUAUACAUGAAAAUGAUGUUUGAUCUGGUAAGAUAUGUGACCCUAUAUUUGCUGACCUGUAGUUUGGUUAUUCCACUUUUACUUUCUCUUUACAGAUAAGUAAAUGAAAAGUUUGCUUAAUCUUGUGAGAGGCUAGGAGAUCAAAUUGAAAAAUUACUUGAGCAUUGGAGAUAUCAUUGGCAAAUGAGGUUUUACAAAAUGAUUUUGUAUUUUGUAUUAGUUUUUAUUUGGAUAUAUGGAGAUUUAUCAUCAGCUUAUUAAAAAAUUUUAGAAUGAUUAAAAAGAAGCUUUGUAUUACUUUAGGGUUUUACUUCAAAGUAAUAUUGCUGUGUUGCGUCUUAGCUUAGGGCAUGACAUAAAGUAGUAUUAGAAUGAUCAUCGGGUGGAAGGGAGCUAAAUGCUACAUCAUGAGAAUCACCUCUAGAAUCUUAAGAAAACUAAGUGCUAUAUGAUGGAAACCACCUUUAAAAUUUCAACGUUUGGUGUGAUCUUGAUUCUGUGGAUCUGGAUAUAUUUUAUGAUGGGCUUAAUAGGGAUGUUAAGUUUUAACAAGGAGAGAUUGUGACACCCCUAAUUCCAUAUUAGAAGAAUGUGAGGAUAUAUAUAUAUAUGUUGAGAUCUGAACCCAUACUUGUGAGGCACCUUUUGUAGAAAAAACCAAUAAGACCUUUGAGUAAAAGUGGAUAAUACCUCGCAGGUUAUAUACAGUUAUUCAUAAAUGGAAACAAAGCGAUCACCAGUUGAAUGAGAGCUAAAUGUUAUGCCAUGGGAACCACCUCUAAAAUUCUAAAGGAGUUAAGAGCUACAUGGUCAGAGCCAUCUAUAGAAUCCUAACAUCUAAUAUGAUCUUGGUUCUAUGGAUCUAUGUGUGAUUUGUGUUGAGUUUCAUGGGAUGUCAAUCUUUGUUAGGUUUGACAGGGACGUCAAGCUUUAACGAGAGAGAUUGUUGACAUUCCCAAUCAUACAUUAAAAGAAUGUGAAGAUAUGAAACGAUGUAUAUAUGUUGAGAUUUAAACCUAUACUUAUGAAACGUCUUUUAGGGGAUAAAAUCGUGAGAAUUUCAAGUCAAAGCAGACAAUACGUCGCAAGUUAAGUGCGGGUCUUCAUACUUCAAAAUUUUCAAUUUUUUAUAUGCAAUUGUACUUUGCUAAUAGCUAUAAAUAUACAUACACUAAUAAUUCAAUCAAAUUAUGAAUAAAUCUUAUCUUAUAUGUAUUAUUUUACCAUAAACUAAACAAUUUGAAGAAUAUCUUAGAAAUAUUGACUUAAUGUAUAUUGUAUAUAUUUAUUUAAUUUAGUUUUAAUCUUUGCAUUAGUAUAAAAAAUUAUAAUUUUAACUCAUUAUUAUGUGUUAAACUGUAAAUAGUAAAUUAAGAACAUUUACUUAUACUAUUCAAGUCAUUUACACUUAAACUUUUUCUUCUUUUUUUCUUUAUUUUGUAAAUUACAUCAUCUAUCAUAUAUUGUGGUUACUUUCUUUUUGGACAUACACAAAUCAAUGAUAACAUAGAAAUAGAUAAUUAAUAACUUAGUAAUUAAUCAUUGAAAACUUAAAUAUAAUCAAUAUAAUCUAAUAGUAAAUUAGUGUAAUGAUAGCCUCAUAGUAAAUUAACAGUCAAUAAUUGAUAACUUUUUAGUAAAUAAGUAAUAAUAUAAUAAUAAAUGCCCAACACCUUAAUGGUAAAUCAAUUAUAAUAUAAUUAUAAAUGCAUAACAAUAUAGUACUAAAUCAAGGAUAAGCUAACAAAAAAUAAGUGAUAACUUAAUAGUUAAUUAUUAAUAACUUAAUAAUAAAUUAAUGAUAACUUAAUAGUAAAUUAGUGAUAUUUUAAUAGUAAAUCACUUUCAGUUUAAUAAUAAUUAAUUGAUAGUAGUAAAUUACAAAUUACUUUGUAGUAAAUUAAUCAUCAAUUAAUUGUAAACAAUUGAUAUUUUAGUAGUUAACCAUUGAAAACUUAAAAAUAAAUCAAUAUAACACAAUAGAAAACUACCAAUCAGUAAUAACUUACUAGUAAAUCAUGCAUAAUUUAAUAUAAAUUAGUAAUAAUUUGGUAGUAAAUCACAGGUAAUUUAGGUGUAAAUCAGUGAUAAUUUUAUAGUAAAUAAUUGAAAUUUUAGUAAAUCAAUCAUAACAUAAUAGUAAAUAUAUAAAUAUAUAAUAAUAAAUUAUUGAUAAUUUAGUAGUAAAUUGAUAACUUAGUAAUAAAUUAAUAAUAAUGUAAUAGUAAAUUAUUAAUAAUUUAGUUGUAAAUUAGUGAUAAUUUAAUAGUAAAUUAGUUAAUCAUUGAUAACUUUUUAAUAAAUCAUUAAUAAAUUAAUAGUAAAUCAGUUAUAACUUUGUAAUAAAUCAUCAAUAAUUUCGUGAUAGAUCACCAACAAUUUAAUAGAAAUCAUUUAUAAUUUAAUAGUAAAUUAUUCAUAACUUAAUGACAAAUCAUUCAUAAAUUAGUAGUAAAUUAUUGAUAAUUUAAUAGUAAAUCAUUGAUAGCUUAUUAAUAUAUAACCGAUAACUUAAUUGUCAAUUAUUAGUAACUUUUUCAUUUGAAGUUGUUAGGGAUUGAACCCUAAUUACUAACAAAAACGAAGUCAAAACUUUCAUUAUAGGGACUAGGAUAAACCUAUCAUGAGCCUAUUUAAUAAAAAAAUUAGUAAAAAAUUGUAAACUUGAAUAAAAUAAUAAUGUUAUUAUAUAAAAAGAAAUUUAUCUCAUAUAUUAUUAGUGGACUUUUUAAAUUUAUGUUUCAUAGUUGUAAAUACAUAACAAAAUAUUAAUAAAUCAAUGAUGGUUUAAUAAAAAAAAUGAUAACUUAAUAAUUAAUCAGUAAUAACUUACAAUUAAAUUAAUGAUAACUUAAUAAUAAAUUAGUUAUAACUUAAUAGUAAAUUAGUUUUAAUUUAGUAGAAUUAAUUAAUAAAUAUAGUAGUAAAUCAUAAAUAACUUAGUAUAAACAAAUGAUAAUUGUCAUAAUGUAUAGAUCCGAAAAUCUAUAUCUAGACACAAUUUAAGGAGUUGCCACCAAUCUUUUUAUUUAGAUGUGAUUGGCCAUCUAAUGAAUUUAUCCUUUGAAGGAGCUCUUAAACUUGAUUAAGGGUCAAUAAAAAAAUAGAUUCUGGUCUACUAAUCAUAACAGGGUUGGGGAGUUUAGCUACAUAUGGGGAGGGUUAUAACGCCUCCACAUGCCCAUCCAAAUAAUGGUUCCAUUUUAUUUUAAAUUAUCCUAAGAUCUUGAUUCUAUUGGUCUUAAAUUUUAAUAUUGAAUAUUGGAAAUAACUUUUAAGAUUCUUAAUCAAUCUGGUAGAAUUCUUAAAAAUAUUUUCUUAUCUAAAGAGUAUUCAAGAAUCCUAUUUAUUUUCCUUGAAGAGGCUCUGUAGUCGAAAAAGAUUUAAUCAUAUUUUUUUAUUUUUGGUUUUUUAUUAAAAAUAUAUCUAUUAGCUUUUUAGAUGAGAUGGUCAUCUAAGAGGGUGUGAAUUGGAUCUCUCUAAAAUUUUCUCAAAACAAUGAUUUCAAGAUAAUUGAAUGAGAAAUUAAAUCAAUAAGCAUUUUUGGUGAAAAUAUAAUACAAUCAAUAACAAUUAAUGAACUUAGAAUCAAAUAUUAACAACAAUAAAUGUAAGAAGAUACGGAUAGAGAAAUCAAAUACAAUGAUUUAUAGAGAUUCGGUUCUUUUCCAUAAGGUACCUACAUCCUCUCUUCUUGGUUGUCCACACCAAGGCUUCAAUCCACUAAUUGAAGAAAACUUCUUACAAGAUAUAAUCUUAUCUUCUACUAAAUCUCUAUCUUUUUCUUAAGGAUUACAUAACAACCUCUACCUUUAUAAUAUCAAGAGGAUAUCUCACCUCUUGCUUACAAUAUAACUUAAAUGAUUUUUGCAAACUAAAAUACCUUUAAAGGUUGAGUGUUUGCCUAAUGAAGUAUACAAAAAUUUGAUAAAUGAAAAACAUCAAUGAUUUGGAUACAAUAAAUACAAAGAUAUAGACUUUAAAGUUCUAAAACUUUUGAUUUCUUUGAAAGAAUGAAAAUAUGACUCGUUUGAUCUUGCUCUCUUAAUUCAUCAACCUUCUUGUUAUGUUGGAAUGCUCAAUUUAUAGAUGAAUUGAAAAAUUAGCCGUUAGGGAUGGCUUGGAAGAAGAAAUGCCCAUUGAAAACUUGAAAAACUAGCCGUUAGAGUGUUUCUGGGCAUAGGGGAUUGAUCCCUUCAUAUAGGGGAUCAAUUGGGUCAAUUGAAACAAGACCAAUAUUUGUGCCAAAUACAGGCUACAUGAUCGAUAAAGUAACGGACCUGAUCGAUUCCUUACCCAAGUGAUUGAUACCCUAUAUAGGGGGAUUGAUCCCUUUUGUAACUUUUUAACCUCAAAUUCUUUCUAUUUAAAAAAUAGAUCAAUUCCUUAAAGGGGGUAUCAAUCGGGUUACUUUGAAACCCUAACCAAUUAAUCCCUAUAGCGAGGGGAUCGAUCCGAUCAAGCUAGGUGGUUAUCUCUAAUUUUGUACUCCACUCACUAAUUUGAUCAUAUGUUGAGCUAUACAAUUCCAAAUCAAAGAAUAUUUGAAGAUUUAGAAACUAGACUUAAAAGACUUUCUAUCCAUAUAAAAUUAAUCACCUAAUUAAUUGUAUACGAAAUUAUAGUGAAUUUUUAAAUCUACCAUUUGUGUAAUUUUUAAACAACUACAAAGUGUCUAGUAAAAAUUCAAAAUCAUUUUUUAGAAAAUUUGGAUUUUAAUUUUGUUUGAUCUAUUAAAAAGUAGACUCAAAGAGCUUUCAAACCAUAUAAAAUUAAAAUAUUAAAACUUUGUCAAUUAAUACAAAAAAAUAAAACAAAUUCAAUGUUGGAAAACUUUGUUCUUGUAAAACAACUUUCUUAAGUUAAUCUAUUUCUCAAAACAAAUAUUAUCAAAAUUGUAUUGAGUCCAAAAUGAAUAAGUUCACUUUUAAAAUAAACAAUUAGAUUUGCAUUUAAACUCAAAUAAAUAAUGUUUAAAGAUACCUUUGAUUUGAGAAAUAAGAUAACAUAAAGAAAGGUUUGUUUAAACUUUAAAAAUCAUAUUAUUUAUUUAGUACCAAAAUAAUAAAAGUUAAAAACAUGUAUUAAAUAAAUCUUUUUCAAAAUCUUGAUCAAGCUUAUUUAGCAUAAUGUUUUGUCAUUUCAAAAUAAAGAUCAAUUCAAGGCUAACAAAUCUCUCCCUUUUUAAUAUGACAAAACUUAAAGAUAAAUUUGUUUGAUAAAAGACUUUCUUUAAGGCAUGUAAGAUUUUGAAAAAUAUUUUGAACAACUUCCCUUAAACUUUGCAAGACAAAACUCCCCCUCAAUUAAUCAUCAUAGUAUAACACAACUCAACAAACAUAUGUUAGCCAAAAUAUCAAAUAAGCACAAUCAAACAUAUACCUAUCAAGCACAAGCAAAUUUGUCCAUAUGAUAUUUUUUCCCUUUUUUAUCAUAGCAAAAAGGCAUAAGCAUAUUAAUGAGUAAAUAAACACAAAGAGGUAUAAUUAACAAAUAUAUUCAUGAAACAUUUCUUUCUUUUUUUUGUUUAAGCUAUUUAUACCAAUUGUUAUAAACAUACUAGAAGAAAUAUUUAUAAACUUUCCCCAUUUUUAUUAUUAUAAAAGAAAGAGAGAUCAAUUUAAGGCAUAGGACAAAGUGCUUGAAACCAAUAAUAUCAAUAGUAUUUUGAAUGCAUGUAAUCAAGUGUAAUAUGCAUAAUAAAGUUCACGUACAUUAUUCAAGUACAAAAGCAUCAAUGUAUCCAAUUUUAGCAUUUUAGCACAAGUCAUCAAAUUUAUUACAUGAAAUUAUGAGUAAAAGGAUAAUGAAUGAUAUUCAACCUACUUAUAAAUCAUGUUAGCAUAAGAUGUGCUUAGAACCUAAAACAUCAAUAGCAAUGAAGUAUAAAUUCAAGCACAUGCAUACAACCUCAUACCAAUUGUUAAAAAUAUGUUAUCACAAAACAAAUCAAGAAAAUUGUAUUCUAAGCUUUCUCUUACUUUUCAAAAUAAGGAUUAAUCAAUUUAAGGCACACAUAAUUUUACAUGAAAGAUACAAGCUAUAUCAAGGAUAGGCACAUAAACAAGUGUCCAUGAAAGUUUAAAAAAUUCUUUAGCAAUUUUGAUGCCAAUUAUUAGCUAUUUUAUUUAACAACUUUCAUAACGCACUCAUACUUCAAGCAUAUGGAAUAUUCAUUCAAUACAUGCAUAAAUGAUAAUAGCAAUCUUUCAUAAGCUAUCCUAUCCAAGCAAGAACCAAAGCUCAUAUGUAUUUAAUAAAACAUGAAUACUAAUGAGGAAUAAGGUUCAAUUAUCAUCAUGUCAUAACAAAGAUUAUUCAAGCAUUUUUCAAACAUGAUAAACACAUAAGCUAUAGCAACGAAAUAAUAAAAGUAUAAAUAUUCAAAUAUAUUUCAAAUUAUUUCAAUGCAAAGCAAUAUUCUUAAUCCAAACUAUGCAAGUACAUAAAUAUAAUUCAAACAUAUUUUUCAAUCAAAAUCAUACAAGAAUAUACAAAAAACAUUUCGAAUCAUAUAUAGCAAUAUAAUAAUAAAGAUACAAACAUUUAGACAUAAUGUAAUGCAUGCUAUCUCAAUGGUCUCAAUCAAUGAACAUGUUCAAAGAAAUCAAUCUAUUUAACUCAUAUCCAUGGCCAAUGAUUCAUACAAAUCUUUAUGCAAUAAAAACUAUUAAUCAAAGUAAUCAAGUACUAGGCAUGAUUAUAAUCAAUCCAAGCAUUUAUCAAAGUUAAGACAAAUUCUGUCAAGUAGCUUGGUGAUUAAUUUGUGUAAAGUGUUCACAAAUUCAAACAUAAUAUCUUAUUUUUGUACAUAUCAAAGCAAGCAUUUAUCAAAUCAUGCAUUAAACAUUAUAAAAUCAUAGGCAUAUAGUAUAGAUUCAAUACAAUUAUCUCCAUCUUUAUCAAGUUAUGUUAUUGUGCUCAUUUGCCUUUGAAUUCUCCAAUCCACUUCAUUUGAGCAAAACUAGGUUUGAAUGAUGACGAUGACAUGUUUUGCUUGCUAUACUUGAAAUUCCAAAAAUGUAGGCUCAUUCAUGCUCAUUUCAAGUUUUCCUAGCAUAGACUUAGAAAAUAUUCUUGGCAAAGAAAUGUUCAUUAAUAGCAUCAAGAAUAUCAAUUGAUAAAAAUUAUACUAAUUGUUAGGAAAUGAAUUCCAUAUUCUAAGUCAUUAUAGGCAAAAGAAAAUUUUGUUCAUUAAGCACAAGUUGCCAAUUUGCUAGCAAAUCAUUCAAUAUUAACUAAAGCUAUAGACCAUUCAUCAUUUAGCACAAAGGUGGCACUAAAGUAAAAAUUCUUAAGUAAUGUGCAAAACAUCAAUCUUUCUAAAUAAUUUAUGAACACAAAAGGGACAUAUUCAAUAAUCAUGUAUAUUCAAGAAAUCACUAAAGAAUAUGUCAAAAUAAAGUUUUGGCCAUAUGAAAACUAAAAACUCAAGGAAGAUGUAUUUAUCAUUAAAAACAUAUUUAAGAAAAUUUUAGCACAAAAGCAUAAAUAUGUCUACACAAAUUAUAGGCCAUAAUCAACAAUGACUUAAGCUCAAACAAGCAUCACAAUAAAAUCAUUUACUUAAGUCAUGUUGCAACCAUGUCAAGUCAAGAAAAAUCAUAUUUAUUAUAUAUGCACACACUUGACAAUAGCAGUAGAUGAACUAACAACACAUAUCAUUAUAAACAAUUAGUUCAUCAAUACUUAAUCCCAAACCAAAAGAUAGGUGAAUUAAGCACAAGUUCUAAAAUAUUUUAUAAAAUUAACGAAUCAAUUCAGCACAAGAACAAGUAUAUUUAAAAAUAUUUAAAAAAUCAAUAGAUAAAAAAAUUUUAAUUAUUUUCAAAUCAUAAGCAUUAAGGUCAAGUUGAAUUAAUGAUCAUAUGAGUACAUCUCUUGACCAAAAAUUAAGAUGAACAAUGAAUCACUAUAUACCACUUAAGCACAAAUGUUCAUCAAUUUACAAAUCAAGAGUUAUAACAAUUUAGAAUAUAACAAUCAAGUUUUAAAAAAAUAUUUCACAAGAUCUAAGCAUUAUAAACAAGUUAAGCAAUUUUAAAUAACAUGGUCAUAUAAGCAUUUUAAAUAAUCACAAAUCAAUGUAUAUCAUAUAAAGUGCAUAAAAAAAUAUGAAACAUAUUCAUCAAGCUAAAAUCAUUCAAACAAAUAUAUUUAUGUAAAACACAAUAAGAUAAUCGAUUCAAAGCAUAAUAUGUUUAGGAUUUUGAUUUUUGCACUUUAAAACUCAUUUUUGUUUGAAAAAUACCUUAAUAAAUCUCAAAACUAGUCAAGGUCAAUUUUAACCAUCUUGAACCUUUCCAACAAAUUUCAAAUGGCAAAACAAAGUUGUUCAAGUGAUCAUUUGGCAUUAAAAACAAGGAAAUAAAAAAGUUAACUCUUAAUCCCAUAUUUCCUUGAAAAAGGUUAUUAAGAUGGGUAAAUAUGUUUAAACACACAUUUAAGCUCUUCAAACUAUUUAGAAAAGUUUUAUAUCACACAUUGAAAAAGUUCAAAUGGUUUUUAUGCCCAUAAAUGUUCAAAAAAAAGAUUUGAUAUUUUAAGCUCCAUAAUCCUUUGAAAUUUGCAUGUAGCACUUAUGAAAGUUUUAAACUAUUGCAAGUUAUCAAGUUAUCUUCGUUUAAGCAAGUUUAAAUCAUUGAAUUCAAGAUAUUCAAAUUCAUUUCCAUUUAAAACUUGCUAAAACAAUAUUUCAUAAUUUAAAGCUUAACUCUAACAAAAAUCAUUUUCAAAGCAAAACUAAAAAUUUCAAAAUCAUUAAGCUUUGAGUGCUCCCCUAAGUUUGUGCACAAAUAUAAAAAUAAUUUAGUACACAAUUAAUCACUUCAAGCGCCAAUAACAAUUUCAUAAAUAAUAUCAAAAUAUCAAAAUCAUUCAUGUAAUCCCAAUAUCAAGACCAUUCACAUGUAAUCCCACAAAUUCAUUAAAGCACUCAUGAAUUCUCCUAAAAAUGUAUCUCAAGCAAAUAAGUAUUAAACACAAUAUCAAUAAGCACAAGUAAUUUAUUAAAAUCAUACAUUCAAGAGAAAAAUAAAUAAAUGCCUACUCAAUUCAAGCUCAUAUAUAUAAAAUAAAAUUGGUAUAUUCAAGAUAUAUUAAUAAAGCAUCUACCAAUAUCGAUCAAGCACUCAAUGUCCAACUAGAAUAGGCAACCAAUUUCAUAUUCACUUAAAAUAAAAGUUUAGAGGUUACCCCAUCUCCAUUGUAUGUCUAGAGCAUUCAAUCUUCAAAAUCACAAUGUAACUAUUUCCUUUAGCACACCUAUAAGAGAUAUUUUUCAUUUGAUUUUUGAUACUUAAAUUGUUUUAGGUCCUUGAGAGUUAGUGACCAAGUCUUUAGUUCCUUUUGGAACCGACACAUGUUUAAUUCUAAAUGAAACUUUUCUCUUUAUAAGAUAAGUAUGUGUAGCAUGACCAUGAAAAUUAUAAAAAUUACAUUUUGUCAUUUUAGUACUUAAUGAAUUCUUUGAAAACUUUUGUUUUUCAUUCAUCAAUUCAUCAAAUUUGUUAUUCAAAACAAUAUUAUCUUUUUCUAAAAAUUCAUUUUUACUUUGAGAGGUUUUAAAAUCUUUUUUCAUUUUUUCAUUUUUUUUUCUAAAAUAUUUAUUGCAUUCAUCAAAAAAUCAUUUUUAACAUUCAAUUUUGAAAUCAUUUUUUUAUAUUUCCUCUUCAUUGAUUCGCAUUCAACAUAAAGCUCAUUAUAAGCAUCUUGCAAUUUAUCAAAAUUAUAUGAAUUUAAAUCAAUAGAAUUAAAGGUUAUCUCUAGAUCUUUAAGAGCCAUGAGACAUGAUGCAUUUCGAUUGGAUUGUUGUCUUUCCUGUAUUUUAUCCAACUUUUUUAUAUCUCAUUUAAAGUUGAACACUUUGAUAACAAGUUAAAGUUGUGGGAGUCAAGAGCUCCAUAUAGUAAGCACUUGGCCUUGGCAUCAUCCAUCACUUGCCUUAUGUAGUAUGCAUCAUUUGAAAGAAUUCCAAGCCUUUUCUUUAUCACAUUCCAAGCUCUAAAAUCUUGGGCCAUUAUGAACACCUUCAUCCUUAUUCUUCAUUCACAAAAUUCAAAUUUAUCAAACAUAAAAAGUUUGAGGACUUCCUCAUCAUCUUGGAACCUAAAUUGAGCUAUAGGACUUUUACUCAAGAUGGUUAAACCUACAAAAAGAGAUCAAAGCUAUGAUACCAAAUGUUAGCUUUUUAGGUGAGAUGGUGAUCCAAGAGGGGGUGAAUUAGAUCUCUCUAAAUUUUUCUCAAAACAAUGACUUCAAGAUAACUGAAUGAGGAAUUAAAUCAAUAAGCACUUUUAAUGAAAAUAUAAUACAAUCAAUAACAAUUAAUGAACUUAGAAUCAAAUAUAAACAAUUAUAAAUAUAAGGAGAUAGGGAUAGAGAAAUCAAACAUAAUGAUUUAUAGAGAUUCAAUCCUUCUCCACAAGGCACCUACGUCCUAUUUUCUUGAUUGUCUUCACCAAGGCUUCAAUCCACUAAUUGAAGAAAAAAUCUUACAAGAUACAAACCUAUCUUGUACUAAAUCUUUAUUUUUUUCUUAAAGCUUAGAUAGCAACUUUUACUCUUAUAAUAUCAAGAAGAUACCUCACCUCUUACUUACAAGAUAACCCAACUAGUUUUUACAAACUAAAAUACAUCUAAAGGUUGAGUGUUUGCCUAAUAAAGUGCUAAGAAAUUUGAUGAAUGAACAACGAUAAUGAUUUGGAUGCAACAAAUACAAAGAUAUAGACUUUAAAGCUCUAAAACUCUUGAUUUCUUUGAAAGAAUGAAAAUAUGACUUGUUUGAUCUUGUUUUUUUAAUUCAUCAACCUUUUUGGUGUGUUGAAAUGCCUAAUGUAUAGAGGAAUUGAAGAAUAAGCCGUUAAGGAUGGUUUGAAAGAAGAAAUGCCUAUUGGAAUUUUUAAAAACUAGCCAUUUGAGUGUUUUUGGGCAUAGGGGAUUGAUUGAGUCAGUUGAAACAAGACCAAUCUUUGUGCCAAACAAAGGCUACCUGAUUGAUCAGGUAAGGGACCUGAUCAAUCCCCUACCCAGGUGAUUGAUUCUCUAUGCAAGGCGAUCUAUCCCUUUUGUAAGUUUUUAACCCCAAUCUUUUUCUAUAUAAAAAAUGGAUCAAUCACUUAAAGGGAGGAUCGAUUGGGUCAUUUUGAAACCCUAACCAAUCAAUCCCUACAGGGAGGGGAUUGAUCCGGUCAAGCUGGGUGGUUGUCUUUUAUUUUGUACUCCUCUCACUAAUUUCAUCAUAUCUUGAGUUAUACAAUUCCAAAUCAAAAACAGUUUGAGGAUUAGAAACUAGACUUAAAGGGCUUUCUAUCCAUAAAAAAUUCAUCACCUAAUUCAUUGUAUACAAAUUAUAGUGAAAUUUCAAAACUACCAUUUGUGCAGUUUUUAGACAACUGCAAAGUGUCUAGCAAAAAUUUAAAAUCUUUACUUAAGAAAUUUAGAUUUAGAUUUUGUUUGAUCCAUUUGAAAGUAGACUCAAAGAACUUUUCAACAAUAUAAAAUUCAAAUAUUAAACCUUUGUGAAUUAAUACAAAAAAAAGUUCAAUGUUGGAAAAUUUUGUUUUUGUAACACAACUUUCUUAAGUUAAACUAUUUCUCGAAACCAAUAUUAUCAACAUUGUAUUGAGUCCAAAAUGAAUAAGUUCACUUUAAAAUCAACAAUUCGACUUCUAUUUAAACUCAAACAAAUAAUAUUUAAAGAUACCUUUGAUUUGAGAAAUAAG